rnacentral:lncRNA from 1 species
AGGCUCCCGCUUUACGCAGGGUCUGGGAGAGGUGAAUGUCGGCUAGCUUUACCCCCAUUUAUGGAGAGGCUGCUCCCAAGUCUCGAACCCGAGACCUACCGCUCAUGGACGAAGGCACUUGCCAUCGCACCAAGUGCGACCUCACAAAUAGGAAACGAUUAAAGAAAUAAAAAAAUAUCGAAAAUAUCUUAUAAUCUUAAAAUUCCAUUUUGGAUAGUAAACAACGGAAUUCGAUCAAAAUGCUCAUAUAUCUCAGUAAAGCGUCACACUUUGUUCCUGAUGUCGUCGUAUUCUACAUAACAGUGUGUUACGGGUCCAAAUCAGAAACCGGAGCCUAAGAAUGCAAUGCUUGAAUCUUACAACCGAUUGUACGUCUUUCCAACUAUUCGUCUCUGAGAUUUCAGAGCCCUGUGUGGAAUUCAUAAAUGGCCCUUCUUAAGACAGUCUUUUAAAAAAAUUGAACAAUGUUUUGAUGCUAAAAAAUAGUAAGUAAAAUUAAAACAAACUUUAAAACUCACAAUAAUUGUCGGUUUCUAAAUAUCAUUAAAUGCAUAGAAUAGAAGGCUACAAAAAACAACCCUAUUACAAAAUAAUCAACAAUUAGUUCAAUCUUAAGAAACCAAAUGAACAAGAGUUUCAAAAAAUCCAACAUUGAAGUUUCACUUAAAGAUGAUUCCUCGUGCAUACUUUCCUGCAAAAUCAUCAAUUAAACUUCAUAAUCAAUUUUGCCCCGAACACACUUUCAAUGGAUGUCAAGACAAGCCCAUUUAACUCUUCCGGCAACAUGUUUGAUUGUAAGUAUUAUUUGUAAUUGUUGUAGGAUCCACUUAAUUAUUAUUAAUUUGCUAAAAAUUAAGAAAAGUGGAAAUAUAUUUUUUUUUGUUUAUUUCAAAGAAAAGUAGAAAAGAUGGAAAAGAGACAAUUAUAGGUCCCACUUGAAUUUCAAUCAGUCACAUUUGGAUAUAAUAAUGCUAUAUGUUACAUAGCAAAAUUUUUAGAAUCCUUUAAUUUUGGAACUCUGUGCGAUCCAACAAUUCGAUUCUCCUCAAAGCCGUCACUACUUCAAUCAUUUUAGCCCUAUGUUCUACAUCAUUGCACCGGCUACUUUAGUACUAUCUUGCAUACUUCCCUGCUUUAUAUUAUCCCACUCAAUAAUGCAAUCCAAUGCAGUCCAAACUCCAAAGAGUUCUAACUAGGGUUUCAGCCCUUUUCAAUGAUAUAGAAACUUUCAAUCCAGGAGCACCACUAUUAUUCCUCAAAGCUGCAGCAUUGACCGUUAGGGACUACUAUUACUAAACAAUCAACUCAUUUUCCACUACUAGGUUAACUCUAUCAAAUGCCAUUUCGAACAUGGAGCCAUCGAUCGAAAAGCUUUGACAGAAGUCAAAUAAAUGUUUUUUUUUUUGAGUGAAGGCAACAUGCCAACGACUACAAGUAAAAAAAAUCUGCAGCCCUGUGAGGGGCCGGCCAUAUAUAAUUAUUAAAAAAUGCUUCAAAUUUCAAACCUAGUUUUUUCAACAGGAGGCAGAUUCUCCGUUUUUCAUUUUUUGUACCCUUGUAUUUUGUGUGGUCACGGUUAAGUCACGUCAAUAUUUUAUAUUUUUUUUAUAAAGCUAAUAAGACAAAAAUGAAUAGUAAUAUAAAAUAUUAACGUGACUUAAUUGUAACCACACAAACAGGAGAGCACAGGAGGGCACAGAAAGCGGGAUCUGCCCUCCUUUUCAACAUGGUUAUACUGCCGUACGAAACGCAAGUUGCGUAUGGAAUUGACACUGAUGGGGGUGGUGCCUUUGGUUAUAGGUCUCUAAAUUCUAUGCGAGUGACAUCCGUGUCAACCUUGAAUAUCCACCCCAUGUACACAGUGUGUGUUUUUGUUUUAAACUUAGAUUCCAGACAAUGAUGGAUAUAUAUUUUGUUGGAUGGCCACCAAGUCCAUUAAGAUAUUUCAUCAUUAAUUCAUGUAUGACAAAUGCCGUACGUGUUAAAAAAUGUAAGGAUUAUAUCGAAAAAUUGACAACUUAAAAUCCAAUAUAUAAUGAAUUGUUCUACCUAUUAUCACCAAGACUUUUUGUGAGAAACAAAAACCCGACACUUGUGUUAUGCAGGUGAUAAGAUACAAUUUAAAAGACAAUAUAUGUGUGGUUAAAAGUCCUUGAUAGUGCAUCCUAGCAUCAUUUGAGACACCCCUUUAUGUUCAAUAUACGUGGUGGAUUAAUCUUUGCCUUGAUACAUCAGUUGAGAUAAGAAAAAUCUAAAUCAAAUCACUGCAGUGGCCUUGGCUAGCUAGCUUAGGGCACAGAAACCACCUGAGUCAAUGGUGUAAUACAUAUGGUAAUGAAAUUAGGUUUGCUGAAAUACAUAUUCUUCCUUAAAUGUUCUGAUUGAAUUUUACUGGUACUAUUUUUUUCUCUUUUCUUUUUGUUGCCUUUUAAUCCAACAUCGAUUCUUAGUUAAUGGUGCUACGUAAAUAAGGAUCUAAUAAUUAGCAAAUGUUGAUAUGGCGGUAUAUAUUUUGUCCGAUGGAGAUUUUCUGUCUUGUUUGUGCGCUUGAAUAAUUAAAAUUUAGUAUUUGAUGCACUAUGGUGAGCAUAAUAAGGCAAAUUCUGUUGGUCAAACCGGCCACCAAAAGUACCACUCAUAUAACCUCAACAAUGUACAAAAAAGAAGGAAUUACACAGAGCCAUGGAUGGUUGGAAACUGAGAAAAUGUGAUAUAAUGGACCUGGUGAGAUUAAUGGGUUUAAUGUUUUGGCAAUGACUAAGCAGUGGUUAAGCUCCAACUUAAUCCAUUAAUUUUCACUAUGCAUUUUACUAUUUUAAAUGCACGAUAAUUAACAAUAAUCAACAGCAACAUCUGUCACCGGCCACCGGCCACCUUAUCUCGCAGUAAAAUUAAGAACUGCAGUUUUCUAAUUUCUAUAGCAACUGCAAUUAUCACCAUACACGUACAUAUAUAGUACUGAGUGUGCUCUUCUUCUCUUAUUCGUUUAAUCCAAACUGUAAACAGAGAAUAAUUAAAAUAAUUAAAGCACCAUUAAGCAUCGAGGAUAUGUACAUAGAUUAUAAUUAAAAAAACAAUUGUAAAGCGGCUAAACUGUAUAAAUGCCGCAACUCUAGAGAGGAUACACACUGUUUUGGUGACGUUGUAGUAUUAUAUUUCUUAGAUCCCAAGACUGUACAUUUAGGCUUCGCUCAUUUACUCGCAUUUCAUUUAAUCGCCACCAUAUAAUAAUCUAAGGAUUUAUGGCAUGACACAUCACCUAUAACUAAAUUUAACUUUAAUUAUUAGAAAUUUUAAAAAUUAAAUUAAAUUUCAAACAUAAGUUAACUCAAUUUUCCGUUAUGAUUUACAAUUCUUGGUUAGUUUUCCCGUAUUUGCCUCACAUCAGUAGCUAUUGGGUAUUUUUCUUUAAUUAUGAGAAUAAAAUCAAUUAAUCUAGUUAGUGAGCUCUAAAUUAGAAAGCAGCCAAUAUUUCAAGAACCUAAUAAUUUGUCCAAUCUUAUAAACAAAAUCAGAAUGCCCCUCCUCAUCAUCAUCCGCAACAUAUGUUUGCCACAAAACCAUCACAGGGAAUUCGAAAUUUAAUCGACUUUGCCAGCUGGGCCACAUAAUGAGAGAAGAUUAUCAAAGUAGAACUAAUGCAUAAAAUGCUUUUGGGAAGAAAUUGAAGUAGGGGGAGUCGUUGACAUCGAAUCCAAUCUCCCCAUCAAGCCAAAAUGGAAUAGGGUGUGCAUCAAUAUACUUGAAUUACAAACAGCAAAAAGAGUUAACUUCUGUUUGCAAUUUCUUUCUAAAUUUUUGAAAACUUAAUUGUAGUUAAAAUUAAACUUAAUUAUAAGUGAUGUGUCGUACGCUAAAUCGCUAAAUUAUUGUAAUAGUGUAAAUUUAACAAAAUGCUAGUAACUUACAUAAAGUCUAAAUGUAGAGAUUGAUAUCUUAUAUUUUUCUAGAUGGAUAUAUGCGUUUGGCAACAUUCGUUUGGUUGUGCCUGAAAAGCUGCACCAUAUUAAACAAUAUUCUGGUGGACUAAGGGCAGCCAUCAAUUUCACCAUUUAAAUUUUAUUUUCUUUAGAAUAGUCAAACCCCAACAUGUAGUGCUCACUGCUAAGGCCUAUUUUUCUUAGAAAAAAACUAAGAAAACUCUCUCAAAAUUGUUGGAAAACAAUUCAGAAAUAAACAAUAUAACAGAAAUAAACAGAACUUGAAAUUUACUAUUUUAUUUCACAAAAAGUAUUUGCUAUACAGAAUGAAAAGUAUACAAUAAAUACAGAAAUUAAUAUAAGAAUAUCAAUAGUACUAACUUGAUUACAGAAGGUAGAGGCUAGCGUAAAAGCUAUGUCCUUCGAACAGUAAUUCCGUCCCACUCUUGUGCUUGUGGUUCUAUAACGUCUGCUCGACCAGGAUACAACUACCUAAUCCUACAACCCGCAUUGGAUUAUAGAAUUCUAGCGAAUUGCUUUGUGUGUUUACUCUCUCUGGAAAGUUUGUACGGAAGAAAAGGAAGAAGAAAAGAUGAUAGAUAAUGAACUGAGGACUCCAGUUAUAUAGGCUCUUUCAUACCUCUUCAAAUACCUUUUGGAUGUAUCUGAAGCUUUACAACUCUCUACAAAAGGUUGUAUCUUUAAUCAAAACGUUUUUAAUUAAUUUAAUUAAAAACUUAAUUCAAAAUUGAAACUAAUUGAUCAGAUUAAUUUUAAUUCUUAGGCCCCAAGUGCCCCAAGGCCCAAGGCCCUUGUCUUGAUUAAUUAAUAUUAAUUUAUAUUAAUAUUAUGGUAUAAUCAUCAAGCCCAAUCCACAGAAAUGGUGGCCCAAGCCUCAAUUCCCAUUCCAAGUGGUCCAACACAUAACUAAUAUUGUAGAAGACAAAACAUAUAUAAAGGUACGUUGGAAUCUUGUUUUCACCAAUGUGGGACAAGAGUCUCAAAACUUCCAACAAAAAUGACUCUCUAACCUACUUAAAUUAAUGACAUGUGUUGUAUUAUUAUAAAGUAAUACAGUUAGAAAUACUGUUUGUAAUAUAGUUAGUAAGGUUGUUAGUAUUUAGUUAAAAGUAGUUAGGAUUUCUCUUAUAAAAACAGUAUGUGUAAUCUUCAUUUAGUCAGUUAAAUACAAACCCUAUUUCUUUUUCUAAACUCUCUCUCUCUCUCUCUCUCUUUCUCUCUCUUUCUCAAACUCUUUGUAUUCAUCAUUCUGUGUUCAUCCUUUCUUCUUGAUUUUCCCUUCAAUUCCUAAACAUUGCAAUGUAGUUAACAUGGUAUCAGAGCCACCUGGCUCACACCAUGGAUUCUGGUGGUUCCGCUUUUCAUUAGAUUUCAUCGUUUUCAUCAUUUUACUCUUUUGAAAAGUUCUACAAUUUUAUCAUUUUACCCUUUUGAAUUGCUGAUACUGUUAAUCGUCCACACUAGGAAUCUUUUGUUUUCAUCCAAUUCUAAUCGAUUUUAGAUUUUGGGUUGUUGAAUUCCUAUCUGGGUCGUGAUUGAUUCGAUGGAUUUGGCUCUGUUCAUGCAAAACAGGAAUCAAGAACCUCAAAUUUUCAUCUGGGUUUCUUUUAUUUCAGUCUAUUAAGAGUAUCGCGCUUGAAAUUUGGUCUGGGUCGAGGCCAAGUUUUGAAAUUUUGGUGCUUUUUCACUCGAUUGGAGCUUAUUCCUCUUUGGUCUUCAUGUUAUUCACCCUAAUGGAUGACCAGGAGGUGUUUCCGGGUGCAAACAUGGGUGGUGAACUUGCGUGUAGUUGCUCAAUGGACAGCUUUUUUGAUGACUUCUUAAGGACACUCAUGCUUACAUUCACGCCCACACUUGCAACACACCUGGCCCUGAUUACUUUCGAUGUGCUAUCUUGAAUGGUUGCUGAUCUCCGGUGUGUUUUCUGGGCUUUUUCGCUCAAGAACUGAAGAUUCAGGUUUCAUCUUUCUUUUUGCACUCUAACUAUUUGUUUGAUUGUCUCAGUGGAAAAUUCUGUGUUAAUUUGUGUAUUAAGGCUGAUUGCCAUUUACUAAUUUAGAAGAAUAUGAAGGCCGAUUGCCAUUUCCUCUAAGUGAAAGAUUGAUUAGUAGAAUUUGAAGGCCAAUUGCCGUUAAUUGAUUGAAAAGAAAAUGAAGGCUGAUUGCCAUUGAUUUGUUGGAUAUUUUACAUUUAAAAAGGCCGAUUGCCAAGAGUCUACUAGUUCAAGAUUCUGAAAAAGUUGUUCAUUUGUUGAAACUAUGUUCAUUGGUGAAGAUAUAUCGUCAAGCAAUGUUAAAAUUGAGAGUCUUUUGGGUUUCAACAAGGUGGAGGAGAAAACUUGAAAUAAUACAACUUGUAGAAAUUCAUUCUUUUGCUGCUGACUACAAUACAUAUGAUCUUCUUUGUGGCCAGAUAAGGAAUGUUUCUCCAAGACAUGCACCAUGUUGAUGCACAAAACCGAAGGGGUCUUGGAACAACAUAAAUCCGACCGUGAAUCUGCAAGAAAGUAAAGAACACAAGAUGUAUCGUGGUUCACCCCAAUGUUUGGGUUACGUCCACACUGAUAUUGUAUUUCUCUGUUUGUGAGAGGAUUGUGAGGGAGAUAGAGCUUUUUAUGUGAGGAUGAGCUUGAGGUUUGUGAGGGUGAGGAGGCCCUUUUAUAGAAUAAGGGCUCCUCACUUAUUACAUAUUUGCCACUCCAUUUAUUACAUAAUUACAUUUGAGUCUCCCUAGUAUUUAUACGAGAUCUAAAUACGGAGGCCCUAAGUAUGGUACAAACAGUAGUCCUCCAAGUCUUCAGUCCAUGUGUGGGCCGAAGUAACUAGAUGUCGUCUUGAACUGACAUUCGAUAUGAGGCGAUGCUCAAUCUGAAAUGAUGCUCAACUAGAAGUAGCACAUGUUGUGAGGCUGCUCUAUUUGUGGCUUAUGUUGCCUGGGUUGGCUCGGCUUGUGGCGUUGAAGGUGAGGGAGUCCCUUUUAUAGAAUAAGGGUUCACUCCUCAAUACAUAAAUGAUGGGCUAGAGUUGAUGCUCGCGGCGAGUCGGUUGCUCAGCAGGCGGCGAUGUUCUCUAAUGAUGGUGAGGGAGUCCCUUUUAUAGAAUAAGGGCUCGCUCUUCAAUACAUAAGUGAUGGGCUAAGAGUUGAUGCUAGCGGCGAGGCGGUUGCUCAGCAGGCGGCGAUGCUCUCUAAUGAAAGUGAGGGAGUCCCUUUUAUAGAAUAAAGGCACGCUCCUCAAUACAUAGGUGAUGGGUUAGGAGUGAUGCUCGCGCCGAGGCGGUUGCUCAGCUAGCGGCGAUGCUCUCUAAUGAAUGUGAGGGAGUCCAUUUUAUAAAAUAAGAGCUCGCUUCUCAAUACACAAGUGAUGGGUUAGGAAUGAUGCUCGCGGCGAGGCGGUUGCUCAAUUGGCGGCGAUGCUCUCUAAUGAAGGUGAGGGAGUCCCUUUUAUAAAAUAAGGGCUCACUCCUCAGUACAUGAAUAAUUUAUGCUCUCUAAUGAAAGUGAGGGAGUCCCUUUUAUAGAAUAAGGGUUCGCUCUUCAGUACAUAAAUAAUGGGCUAAGUCCUCCAAGUAUUUUUCAUGAGGCCCAGUUGUGGAAGCCCAAUAUAUGGUACAUAGUGUAGUCCCCCAAGUCUUCAGUCAAUAGAGUCUGUUAGCUGGAAACUUCAAAUUGAAUCCAUGUAUGGGCCGAAGUGGCGGUUGUUCAGAGGCGGUAUUUUUAUACCCUGCACUGAAGCUUUGUAGGUGAAGCUUUUGCAAGUGAAGCUUUGAAGCUGGAGCUUUUGUAAAUGAAGCUUUGAAGUCGAGGCUUCGUAAAUGAAGCUUUCGAAGCUGAUUGAUAUGAGUGAUGCUCAUGAAUGUUUAUAUGAGUGAUGCUUAUGAAUGUUGACAUGAGUGAUGCUCAUGAAUAAUGUUGACAUGAGUGAUGCUCAUGAAUGUUGACAUGAAUGAUGUUCAUGAAUGUUUAUGUAUGAUUGACAUGAGUGAUGCUCAUGAAUGUUUAUGUAUAAUUGACAUGAGUGAUGCUCAUGUAUAAUUUUGGAGUACUGGACGUACUUUUGAUCACCUGGUUGGUGAUAAUAGCGGCAGGGUGCCGAAUAAUUUUGGAGUACUGGGCGUACUUUUGAUCACCUGGUUGGUGAUAAUAACGGCAGGGUGCCGAAUAAUUUUAGAGUACUGGACGUACUUUUGAUCACCUGAUUGGUGAUAAUAGUGGUAGGCUGUCGAAUGAUUUUUUGUAGUACUGGACGUACUUUUGAUCACCUGGUUGAUGAUAAUAGAGGGCCUGGCUCUUUUGGGCAUAUGGGUCUUUGGCCUCCACAUAACAUUCCAGCCCAUUAUUUUGGGCUUUGCCAUUUUUUAUUUAUAUUUAUAUUUAUAUUUAUUAUUAUUAUUAUUAUUAUUAUUAUUAUUAUUAUUAUUAUUACCCUCUAAUGGGGUUAUACAGAUGUCUCCGAAAGAUAAAUAAAUCACAUCAUUCAAAAAUAAAUCUGACCUUCUGCUCAAUGGGUCACGCCCAUAAUUCCCUUUUCUGCAUGCCAUCACCACCGCAAUUAUGUCUGCUUCUUUUUAUCUUCUUUUGCUUUCUGCUUUUAGUUUCUGCUUUUCUUUCUGCUUUUUCUUUCUUCUUUCUACUUUUAUUUUUCUUUUCCAAUGCACCUUUCAAUGUAUCUGUCUCUGCUUUGUUGUCAUGCAUGUGCACACUAUCUUUUGCCGUUACUACUUUGUCAGACGCUCCAAUUUGCACCUUUUUGAGGGCCCAUAAUUGUACUAACACCACAUCUCAAAAUACUUGCAGUACAUUUCUUUCAAAUCCAGUGGUAAAUCCUUCAGUUCACCUUUCUCGAUUCCAGCUUCAGAAAGGAACUUUUUCAAGGUUUCGGAGAACCCAUUGUUUUCUAGGAACCGAGCCACGGCGCGGAGGAUAACAAAGGAACUAACACCUUUAAAUCUAGAAUCCCAAAUAGCAUAUUACACAAUCCAGAAUAAAAAUAAUCCGGAAUAGUAUAAUCAGAUAAUCUCAGCAUCCAAACAGCACAAAAUUAACCAGAAGAGCGGCCGGAGAAAUCACUUAUCUUUGGUGGAGACGCCGUACUUCUCCUGCAUCUUGGCGAUCUCUUCCUCUUUCUUCUUCGUGUCUGACUUCUUGCCCAUCUUCGCCUGCUGGUAGUAGAGCACGGUGAGGUACCGGUUCGCGACGUUGAAGCCGGAGAGGUGAUCCACCGCCGUUUUGGUGUCGUAGAUGUCCUCGUAAACGACAAAUGCGGUGCCUUUGGUGUCCUUGUUCGUCUCAAUGCGAAUCUGCCGUAUUGCGCCGUACUUGCCGAAGAUGUCGUACAUCUCAUUUCUCGAGAUGUUGAAGGGGAGGUUGCGGACGUAGAGCAUGCGGUUGACUUCCGGAUGGAGGCGGGUGUUGACUUUAACUCGAAUCUAGAGCAGAUGGAAGGCCUAUUGCGUCAUUCCAGAUCGACAAAACCUUGAGUUCUGCGUAGUUUCCAGGGUUUUCCGAUUCUCCUUCGGUGGUGGUAGUGGGGGUGGUAUUUCUUUUAGCUUUUGAGAGAGAGAAAGUGUAGAGAAAGAGAGAGAAAGAGAUGGCGUCUAUAAUCCAGUUGCGCCUCUGAUGGAGUUUAGUCUAAGCAAGAGAAGGUGGAUCGGAAAGUAAAUGGAAAAGCACUGGCAGUGAGGAGGACAAAUUAGAAUAUUGGUGUGGUGUUUGGUUCUCUUGGGUUUUUACAGAUUUUGCAAAUCCACGGCGAAGGUGAAAAAAUGAGAGAGAACCGACACAGCUUUUCGUGUCGUUUCCCACAAACGGAGCCAAAUGUUGAUGCACAAACCAGAGGGGUCUUGGAACAACGUAAAUCCGACCGUGAAUCUGCAAGAUAGUAAAGAACACAAGAUGUAUCGUGGUUCACCCCAAUGUUUGGGCUACGUCCACACUGAUACUGUAUUUCUCUAUUUGUGAGAGGAUUGUGAGAGAGAGAGAGCUUUUUAGGUGAGGAUGAGCUUGAGGUUUGUGAGGGUGAGGAGGCCCUUUUAUAGAAUAAGGGCUCCUCACUUAUUACAUAUUUGCCCCUCCAUUUAUUACAUAAUUACAUUUGAGUCUUCCGAGUAUUUAUAUGAGAUCUAAAUACGGAGACUCUAAGUAUGGUACAAACACACCAAAUAUUGUGGUGAAUAUAGAUGCUAUAACAAUUGUUUUUUAGGAGGCUUCAAAAGGUGGACAAUCCUUAUCAUUACCAAUUGCAUGUAUAGAAGCAGGAAAUGAUCACAGUUUGUCAAAUCUAAGGUUAUUGUUUGACAAGCAAUGCCGAAGUAUUGACCAUUGUUCCUGAAUACAGGUGAAAAGUACCACCAACAUUUCCAUGCAUACCAAGUGAUAACUGUGAAUAGUGCAAUUGUUGUUGUGGCUUGUUAAAUACUUGUGUAGGAAUUGAGGAGCACUUCCUUUCUUGAUCCGAAGCUACCAUACAAGAAUGAGGUAUUUGACUGACUUGCAUUCCAUGAGAAUCUAAGAAAGAUUUUAUCUCUGAAAAUUUUCUAGCACUGUUUUCAACUGGAUGCCUUGAAUUAGUCUGAACCUGAACUGUUGAAUGAAAGAAUAGUGCUUCAAUUGCUGAUUAGUACGCAAUUAUGGUAUCAUGUCGAUGCAACUACAUUGAGUCAAGAUUUUUUUUUUUUUUUUUUUUUUUUGAAACAGCCAACAAAUUGGUGUCCUGCUGGUGAAGUUACUAUGUAAGUCCUUGAAUUUCUGUUGUCUCGUCAUUGGGUUUAAAUUGUUCAUAAGCUUAUCUCAGCCUAUAAUUUCAGAGUCUAACCAACUCAGUUGUUAGCAUGAAUCUAUAGUAAGUCUGGUUAUACGAUGAAGUUUGAAGAAAUUGUUAACAGUAAAUCCCACGAAGGGUAAUCCCGUGUUUUGAGUAGGUAAAUCCCACGAAGGGUAAUCCUACAUUGAUGUUGAUUUUCAGUUGUGAAGGCCGAUGUCAUUGUUCAAAGAAGUUGUUUUUUUUUUUGGUAAAAUCCUCAAGGGGCGAUCCCGUGGUGCUAUAGUUAAGGCCGAUGCCACACUAUAGUGUGUUGAUUUUCUAUUUUUUGAAAUAUUAAAGGCCGAAACCAAGUUGAAUGAGAUUGUUGACAGUAAAUCCCACGAAGGGUAAACCUGCAAGAAAUUGUUAUAACCAGCAUGAGAGUGUGUUACAACUUUAUAAGAGGUUGUCAUUUGAGAAACUCUUGUUAGAGGCAGAUGAAGGGUGUUAAUUCCAGCUACUGUUAUUCUUCUACCAUUUUCAAUGUUCUGAUUCUCUAUUUCAGCAGAGGACUUACAGAAUUUUGGGCACUGAUAAGACUUUGAAGGCAAUUGAUGGAUAGAUAUUGAGUUUGUGCGUCUAGUCCAAGUAUGAGACCAUUGUUUGUGACUGAUGGAAACCGAAUUAUUAGCCGCAAGUGGGGAUCAUUUCAAGUCUCAGAUUGGGAUCAAGGAAAAUAAGUUGCAUAAGCAAAGCCUAUUUGGAAACUAAUGAAAAUACAUGUGGGGUACCUCCAUAACCAAAACUUGGUUAUUUAGAUCUGCCCAAGAAGAUGAAAAGUAAGACAGGAAAGGGGCAGCAUGGAAAAUUGAGCAGUGCUAGUAAAUUGCAAUUGGUUCAAGUCUAUUCUGUUUUCUGGGUUUUAUAGUAGCGAUUGUAGAUGUUCUUCCAAUCUCAAACUGGGUUUCCCCAGUUGAGAUUGAGGGGGAGUAUUAAGUAAUACAAUUAGAAAUACAGUUAGUAAGGUUGUUAGUAUUUGGUUAAAAGUAGUUAUGAUGUAUCUUAUAAAAACAGUGUGUGUAAUCUUCAUUUAGUCAGUUAAAUAGAAACCCUAUUUCUCUCUCUAAACUCUCUCUCUCUUUCUCUCUCUCAAACUCUCUGUAUUCAUCAUUUUGUGUUCAUCAUUUCUUCUUGAUUUUCCCUUCAAUUCCCAAACAUUGCAAUGUAGUUAACGAUUAUUAAAUUGAAGAGUACAUACAAUUUGGCCUAACUCUACCUACUAAUGUCGAAACCAAACCCUUGACGAUGGCAUGUAUAUAUCACGAUAAACUGAAGAAUUAGGGUUUAUAUAUAUAUUAUUUUUUAUUUUAUCAAAUGAUAGAUUUGUUAGAUUAGAUUUGCUAGUGGAAAGUGGCACACAUGUGCUUUUAAAGAUUAAAUUUGUGGAUCUUAAGGAUCAAUGAUUUUCUGCCAAUUUUUCUUUGAGAUUAAUUUCUUAUCAUUGCAUGCGGUGGCCUUUUAUGGAUUCUAAUUCAAAGUAAUCAUAAUUAGCACAUACCGAGAGAUUCCAUAAUCACAUAUGUCCUAUUUAAUUUAAAGCAUAUCCAAUGUACUUUUAAUUUUUAAGUUAAAUUUAAGGAGUCAUGCUCCCUAGUAACGCAUAGUUGUAGUUUAUUUGUUUAACUUCUUAAAUCUUAACCUAAGAGCUUAAUAAGUUCCUCCUUUAGGAGGUGGAGAGAAAGCAUAAUUGUAGUUUGUUUGUUUAACUUCUUAAAUUUUAGCCUACCAGCUUAAUUAGGGAGUUCACUGAAUACGCUCUUAAUAUAUAUAUAUAUAUAUAUAUAUAUAUAUAUUAUGCAUAAUAUCACUAUUCUUUUAUUCGGACGUCCAAAUUAUUACAAAGGGCUUAUUUGAAAAUGCUUAUGGAAAUGUAGCCAUUUGAUCGUGUUUGACAAAAAAAAUUAAAAGUGCUUUUGGAUCAUAGCAUUCUAGAGAAGCACCUUCCAAAUGCUUCUUGAUGAAUCACUUCCAAGUGUAGGACUUGAAUUUUUAAUAAAAAAAAUUCAAUGUGUUUAUGAUGAAAACACUUUAAUUAAAGUGCUUACAAGUAGAAAUACUUUCUAUAAAAGCAAUUUCAAAUAAGCCCGACGUUGCAGACGCAUUUCAUGUAUCGCUAAAUGCAUAUACAAUAUUCAACCAAACCAAUCGAACUCUAUAGCAAUACAACAUUAAAGUUAAGACAAUCAUUGGUCCUGAAACUUAAGCUCCUAUCAUUGGUCCCAAAACUUAAGAUCCUUAAAAAAAAGGGUGAGAAAUGAAGACUGAACCCAACACCUUAUGCAAACCUCUGAUUACCAUAUGCUACUGACUCUAAAAGAACAGAGCCAUAUUUAGGGAAUGAUCAGUCCCCAACGUUAAAAUCUCAUAAUCCGGCAAACCGAACCAUAGGCGGAGCCAUGGAAGGACUAGGAUGAUCCCAGAACCAUCUUGAUAUUUUUUACAUGAAAAAAUCUAGUGCUAUGCUUAUGAUUUUCAAGGUUUUUUCAUAGGCUCAGAGCCCCAAUCCGACGUUUUUACUCUAAUUUCUUUCAUUGGGUUUGAUUUGAGGUUGGUGACUCUUAUGGACUUCAGGCAAUUCGUUGCUUGUAAGCUUUGAGGAGGACUUUGAUCUGGGAAUCAAUAUAACGUCAAAGAGGUUUGGGGUUUAGGUUUAAGGAAGAGGAUGAUAAGAUGGACGCCAUACCAGACCUAAACAACGUUGGUAGGUUGCUCACGACAGGGUAGAUUAAUUUUUGUAAGAUUCAGUGAGCGUUUCGGAUUUCAACAUUUGGGCCCUUCCUAGACUAAAAUUCUGGCUCCGCUACUAAACCAAACCGUGUAAUUAUUUGAUGAUAAAUAAGACAUGGAAGGAAAAAUUGACGUGCGACAAGAACCCUAAUGGACAAUCGAUUAAACUUGGAGAUAAACAAAGAACCAAUAGGGAAUAUAUAUUGAGGUUAACUUCCGUGCUCUUUGGUACAUGCAGCAGACUUCUACAACAAAGAUAAGAAGGCACUAAUCGAAAUGUUUGUAGAUGUCAUACUCAACUUGAUAGGGUGGAAUGCUUCCCUUUAGUAUAGCAUGCAUGCAGUGACCCAUAAUAUUAAUUUAACUUUGCAUACCCAAAUGCAUUUACUCAUUUGAUAUCGAUGAGGUUUUCAGUGGAGGCAAAAGAGCAUAAUAUAAGAAGCAAUGCACAGGCAAUGCAGGGGGCCUGCCGCCUGCAUCCUGUGCUUCUUAUUAAUGUGUCCCUAAAGCUGUCUGGACAAGAUGAUCGAUUUGCUCUUAUCUGGUAUAUAUGCGCAUGUCCCCAAUGUUCAACUACUUCUGUAUGCCUUUUCAUUUCGACAAAUUAAUUUGGGAAAGCUCAUAGGGUUAAGGUACAAUAUUGUUACAUAUAAUUGGUCUCACACAAUCAUAGAAAAGAACAAAAAAUAUCGGUGACAUGAGAGAAUAUAUAUAACAAAAUAGAUCUUAGCUAGCUAGCUUGCAUGGUUGAUAUUUUGUAAAAUAACUUGCUCAUUUAUUGCACUGAAUUGUCACAAUGCAUAAGGACUAAGCAGUGCAGAUGUAGCCUUGUCAUUUGCUUCAUGCAUACAUGCAUGUGUGCAUGCAACUAAUUUCCUUGAGUCAAAUCAUAUGUUUAGACUUGGAACAAUUUAUUACGUUUUAGAUACCCUGCACUUUCCUCACUCUCUCCUUCCAAAUGGACUGACCGACGAUUCGUGCAUGAUCCUAAUAAUAUUACUAACAUGAUUCCGUAUACGCUUGCAACAAUAUCUAAUUCUUGAUGAACAUUAUCUGGGAAAAACUUUACUUCAAUAAAAAAAAAGUUAACUAACCUUGUCCCUAAUUUCCUUAACAUGCAUGCUAAUAAACCUUAUCACUACUUAUUUUUCUUCGCAUACUUUUUCUUUCUUCCAUUAAAAAGGGCUCGUCGAGACCAUAUGUUAGUUGUCCCCAAAAUCUUUUAUUAUAUAUAGCUCAUGGAAUUGACUUGUUGAUAGGAUGACAUGCAUUAUACACACGCAAUAUUAGAAAAGAUGAAGCUAUUGAACAAUGUUAACAAUAAUUGCUCAUGUGGGUCAUCAUUCGUUAUUGUUUGAUGUAAGUUUAACACUGUAACUUAUACAAAUAUUUAUUCAUCUAUUGACCAACAAUAGUUGUUAAUUUCCUUCUAAUUGAAACAAGAACAUAAUGACUCAUGGUCAUCAAGACCCUACAUUGUGAUUAAAUGGAGAGCUUAGAAUUUUCUUAAAGUGCACCUGAAGGUCACUAAAACUUGAGUGCUGAAAAUUAUUGUCCACUAGCGUGUGGCAAUUGGUUUUUUAUUAUUAUUUUAAUAUUAUUUAUUUAAAAUAUUGUUUUUUUAUAAAAUAAUAAACUUACUAACCACCUUACAUGUUUUUUGAAUUUCAUUUAUCAAAUUUUUAAUGCGAGAAAGACAUUUUGAGUAUUAUGGAAUCUUCACUAUUUUGACAUUCUCCCCUUUAUAUGUAUAUGGAUAAAGUAACGGGUUUUUUCUUCCUUGAAAAUUAAAAUAUAUGCAUACACGUUUUCUGUUCGAAAUUUACAAGUCAGACUUCGAGCUAUUGAUCAUUUUUUACCUAAAACCCGAAAAAAGUGAAAGAAGGAUUAAUUAUUACAAAAUCUUUCCAAGCUCCCCCAAGAGAUCUCCACAUGUGAGUGUCCAAUAUGAGGGUGAUGGUAAAAAAUAUGUUUUCAUUAUUAGAAUUGUAAAUUGAUAUUUAUUUUAUCCGUAAUCGAUAAAACAAAUUAUGUUAAAGGAUGAGUCAUGACUCAUUUUCUUUUCUAACCAAUCAAAUUAUUAGAUUUUGUAAACAUCCCAUGCUUAUCAUUUCUUUAUAUGGUUAUGGUCAAGAAGACAAAUCAAGAUCUUAUUCUAAUUGCGAUUAAAGUAAAGAAUCUGAUCAUAAUUGCUGUUCAUUGGCCACUCACAUCAAAACUUGGAUAGCAAAAAAGGAAAAAAGAAAGAUUAUGGGGAAAAGGCAUAAGAACAAUGGUAUACGUGGCAAUGUGUGGAUUAACGUCAAAGUUGUUAUCAAUUAUCCUCCAUUCCUUCAUGGCAAUGUGGAAAGGAUACGUCUUAAAGAGGGCCUCCAAACAAAGCACCGCAACACCUGGCACUUAAAGAGCUCCCAAGAUAAGACUUCUAAAGUGCGUUCGAAUCAAAUUUACUGUAGUAUAUGCAACUGCAGUAUAUAGUAAAGGGUAAAAAGCAUACAAAAAAGGGCUUCCCCUUCUCUUUUUCUCGUGACAAAAGAAUAAUGUGUGCAUCGACAUUGUAUGCUUUAACCUAGCAUACGGCCAUUUUUAGUUGAAUUCUAUUGUUUAUUAGCCCAAAACGACAUUUAAGUAUGAGAAUAUUUGUGAUAUUUCGUGAUUUUUGUGUGUUACUUUCUAUAAAUAGAUUUUUCUACGGUUUUAGGGUUGUAACCUUUAUAUUAUUCGAUCAAGCUUAGCUUUGAGUAGUACUCAAUCUGCAUGGUGGAUUACAUGCAUAUUAUUAGGGAAUUCUUGUUUAUGGUACUUUGUUCGAAUACAUGUUCUCUUUUAAAACAUCAAAAAACUAUCUGUUGUAAAUAGUUUUAUUAGAGGUGUAUUUUUUUCUUCCAAUAUUAGGCGUGUAUUUUGGGAGGACCAGAUUGGAAACAACUUUUCCAAUUUUUGUUUUAAAAUUUUGAAAUUGGAUCAAAUCAGAUCACAACUUUCAAAUUUGGUUCAGAAAUUGUUAAAAUGCAUGAAAUAAACAUGUUGGAUGACUAGUGAAGUUAGGCUAAUCAACAUUCUUUGUGUAAAUUAGGCAAGUUAGGCAAGUUAGGAAAUUAGGCAAGUGUUAGGCAAGUUAGGCAAGUUAGGCUUAUGUCCUAUUUCUUUUCCCUAUAUAUAAGUGUCAUCUUGUAAUUGUUAGAGGUAUCAAAUACACAUCAAAAUUCAAUAUGGUAUCAGAGCUGUGAUCUGGGAAAACCACAAAACACAAGCUCUAAGGCAGUCACGAGGUCAACCAUUCCAGGCAUGGCUUCUCAUUCAAAAUGGGAAAAUCCCAACCACCCACUCUAUCUCCACCACUCGGACCAACCUGGUGCAAUCCUCGUACCACAACCAUUGGUGGAAGACAACUACAACACAUGGGUUCAAUCCAUGAGUAUGGCCUUAACGGUCAAGAACAAACUUGGUUUUGUUGAUGGGACAAUCAACAAACCAAGUGAGGACAAUUCUGAGGAGCUGCAGCAAUUGAAUCGCUGCAAUAACUUGGUCAAGACAUGGCUACUAGGCUCCAUGUCAAAGGAGAUUUCAGGGAGUGUCAUCAACUACAAGGAUGCUCGACAAAUGUGGACCGAUCUGCAUGAGAGGUUCUCACAUGUGAAUAUAGUUCAGCUGUUCCAUGUUGAGAACGAGAUCCAUGAUUGCGUCCAAAGCAAUAUGAGUGUAAGUUCUUACUUCACUAAACUUAAAAGUUUAUGGGAUGAACGUGAUACUUUGUGUUCCAUUCCAGCAUGUAGUUGUGGAACAAAGAAUGAGAUGAACUCAUAUGUUGAAACUCAGAAAACCAUGAAGUUCCUUAUGGGAUUGAACGAAUCGUAUGCUACGGUUCGAAGCAAUACUCUUCUUCUCGAACCACUGCCUACGGUGAACAAGGCAUAUGCGUUGGUCCUUCGACAUGAACGCCAGACAGAGGUUUCCAAUGGGAAGAGUACACAACCAGAGGCUCUUGUCUUUGCAGUGAAGAAUUUGUCGCAAGAACCUACACCGGAAGACAAAGAGAUGCGAUGUGGAAAGUGCAAUAGAACCAAUCACAUCACCAAAAACUGUCGUGCACAUCUCAAGUGCACUUUUUGUGGAUGGAAAGGUCACACCUUCGAUUUCUGUCGAAAACGGAAAGCAGCCACAGAAACAGAAAGCAGUCGUCCUUUUUCUUCAAAAGGGAAUCAAGUUUCACAAAGUAACAAGCAUGAGACGUUGCCCAAUUUCCCGUUCUCUAAGCAGGAUUGCAAGCAAAUCCUUCAAAUGUUGAACAAGAACAAAUCAUCAUUUGCCAAUCAAGUCGGUAAUCAUUCUAGUCAUGAAGAACUUUCAGGUAAAGCCUUAUCUUUUUCCUGUAAAGGAACCGAAAGUAUUUGGAUCCUGGACAGUGGUGCCACGGAUCACAUAGUUUGCAGCCCUAGUCUCUUUACACACUCACGAGCAGUUGAAAAUCAUACAGUUGAACUGCCAAAUGGUUCUGUUGCCAAAGUCACUCACAUUGGACAAGUUGUUUUCUCUCAUAAUCUUAUCCUUGACAAUGUCCUAUGUGUGCCGUUCUUUAAAUUAAAUUUAAUAUCCAUCAGUAAACUAGCCUAUGAUUCCUUAUAUGUCACCAUUUUCUUCACCCAAUUUUGUGUCAUUCAGGACCUUCGCUCGGGGAAGAUGAUUGGGAUGGGAACUGAAAGGGAGGGACUCUACUACCUCGACUCAUCAAGGAAAGGAACAUGCAACAAUAUUCAAACCAUCGCACCAAAGCUUUGGCACCAACGCCUAGGACACCCAUCUCAUAAAGCCACUUCGUUAUUACCUUUCUUUAACAAUAAAGCUUGUGAUUUGGAAAAAUGUUCAAUUUGCCCAUUGGCCAAGCAAACACGAUCACCCUUUCCUUUGAGCUCUAUUUCUACCAAAUCAUGUUUUGAAUGAUUGCAUAUUGAUAUUUGGGGUGGUUAUCAAGUUGCUUCUAUUUCAGGUGCCAAGUAUUUCCUUACCAUCGUAGAUGACUACACUAGAAGCACUUGGGUUCAUUUGAUGAAACAUAAAUCUGACACAAAAGACAUUUUAGUCAAAUUCAUUCAAAUGAUUGAGACUCAAUUCAAUACCAGAGUUCAAAUCAUACGAAGUGACAAUGGCCCUGAGUUUAAACUUGAGCAAUUUUAUGCUCUCAAAGGCAUCAUACAUCAAUCUAGUUGCGUCAACACACCACAACAAAAUGGUGUUGCCGAACGUAAACACCGGCACUUGCUCAAUGUUGCUCGGGCUUUGCUCUUUCAAACUUGUCUGCCAAAACGUUUUUGGGGAGAUGCAAUCCUAACCUCAGCCUACCUUAUCAAUAGAACACCCACUCCACUUCUCCAAGGUAAAACACCCUACGAAAAACUGUUUCACAAAGCACCUAACUAUUCUCAUUUGAAGGUUUUCGGUAGCUUGUGUUUUGCUUCUACACAUGCCCAAAGGCCCUCUAAAUUCGACCCUCGUGCAAUCCAAUGCAUUUUUCUUGGGUAUCCUUAUGGUCAAAAGGGUUAUAAAUUGUUUGAUAUAAAACACAAUAAGACUUUUGUUUCUAGGGAUGUCGUAUUUUUUUAAGAUCAUUUUCCAUUCCAAAAUUGUAACACUUCCAUUGCCCCGUCUUCAUCAAACACUACACCUAUCCCGUUUGACUCGACCUCUCCCAUUGAGUCGCAUUCAAGCCUUGCACCAGCAGACAUAAACACCACAUCUCCCACACUUGCCGACAUCACACCACUAUCAUCUCCUUUACCCUCUACAACUCCACCACCAGAUACCUUAUCAACACCUCCACCACCAGAUACCUUAUCAACACCUACCCUACACUCUUCCCCACCUCCAAACACUCCAUCACCAGAUCCACCCCCUCCACUCCGUCGUAGCACUCGACCAACCAAACCUUCCACAUUUUUGCAGGACUUUCAUGUUGAGGUGGCCCUCCCAUCCCGUGUUGCACCCACAUCUUCCACAAGCAUGGUUCAGUCAUCAGGUACAUCUCACUCCCUAUCUCGUUAUUUAUCCUAUGACCAUGUCUCUACCACUCACAAAACCUUUCUCACCACCCUCACCAUUAUCAAAGAACCCACCAGUUUUUCGCAGGCUGUUCAGGAUCCAAAAUGGCGUGACGCCAUGCAAAAAGAGAUUGCUGCCCUCCAUGACAAUCGCACUUGGACUCUUGUGCCCUUACCACCUCACAAACAUCCCAUAGGCUGCAAAUGGAUCUAUAAGGUGAAGCUUAAACCUGACGGCAGUGUUGAACGCUACAAAGCACGUCUCGUUGCUAAAGGCUAUAGUCAAAUUGAAGGGCUUGAUUAUCGGGAAACAUUUUCUCCAGUUGCCAAGCUCACCACCGUCCAUGUCCUCCUCAGUAUUGCCUCCAUCCGUGGUUGGCAUCUUCACCAACUUGAUGUAAACAACGCAUUUUUGCAUGGUGACUUAUACGAGGAGGUUUAUAUGUCCCUACCUCCUGGGUUCGGACGAAAAGGGGAGACACGAGUAUGCAAAUUACACAAAUCCAUUUAUGGUUUAAAACAGGCCUCAAGACAGUGGUUUAUCAAGCUGUCUAGUGCUCUCAAGACUGCUGGUUUUCAUCAAUCAUGGUCAGAUUACUCAUUGUUCGUCCGAAACCGUCAAGGCAGUUUCAUGGCAUUACUUGUGUAUGUUGAUGACGUGAUACUUGCAGGUAACAAUUUGAGAGAAAUUGAAGAAACUAAACUCUUCCUUUCCCAACAUUUUAAGCUAAAGGAUUUGGGAAAAAUCAAAUAUUUUUUGGGGAUAGAAGUUGCAAGAUCUAAACAAGGGAUUGCCCUGUGCCAACGCAAAUAUGCGUUGGAGAUACUAGAAGAUGCUGGGUUCCUUGGUGCGAAGCCCUCACGAUUGCCGAUGGAACCAAACUUGUCCCUUACACAAACUGAAGGGACGCUCCUACAUGAUCCUUCUUCAUAUAGGAGACUCGUAGGGAGGCUAAUUUACUUAACCAUCACGAGGCCUGACCUGACUUACGUGGUUAAUAUGUUAAGCCAAUUCAUGACAAGACAAGCCGCGACAACCACACCACACCUUGAUGCAGUGCAUAAGGUUCUCAGAUACAUCAAACAAUCUCCUGGCCAGGGAAUUCUUUUGCCUUCUACAGGUUCACUACAGUUACAAGCUUUUUGUGAUGCUGAUUGGGCUCGGUGUAAAGACACUAGAAGGUCAAUAACCGGUUAUUGUAUCUUCCUUGGGCAAGCACCGAUAUCUUGGAAAACGAAGAAGCAAAGCACAAUAUCUCGUUCUAGUGCAGAGGCAAAAUAUCGUUCUAUGGCUAUCACCUGUUGUGAAGUUAUAUGGCUAAAGAACCUUUUGAAGGACUUACGAGUGAAUCAUGCACAACCAGUCACAUUGUUUUGUGAUAAUCAAGCUGCCAUGCACAUUGCUUCGAACCCAGUGUUUCAUGAACGAACGAAGCAUAUAGAGAUCGACUAUCACUUAGUAUGUGAGAAGAUUCAGAUGGGAAUGGUGCAAACAGCUUACAUACGAACCUCGAAUCAACCUGCAGAUUUGUUCACCAAACCACUAAGCUCGGCGCAAUUUGAGGUCUUACUUAGCAAGUUGGGUGUCAUUGACAUCCACACUCCAACUUGAGGGGGAGUGUUAAAAUGCAUGAAAUAAACAUGUUGGAUGACUAGUGAAGUUAGGCUAAUCAACAUUCUUUGUGUAAAUUAGGCAAGUUAGGCAAGUUAGGAAAUUAGGCAAGUGUUAGGCAAGUUAGGCAAGUUAGGCUUAUGUCCUAUUUCUUUUCCCUAUAUAUAAGUGUCAUCUUGUAAUUGUUAGAGGUAUCAAAUACACAUCAAAAUUCAAUAGAAAUUUCAAAAUUUGACUAAUUUAGGAAAUAUCAUAAUAUAAUUCGAAAAAUUAUAUAUUUUAUAAGUUUUUGAAUACACUCCAACUUUUUCAUUUAUGCAAUUUAUUUUUCUUUCUUAAUAUUUGGUAUAUGUAUAUGCAAAUAUUUGAUUUAUUUUUUGUUAUACUAGUAUGCUUAUCCUUUUUAAGGACCAGAUUACAAGUAACGCUCGGCCAGUAUAGUACAAGUUCUCUCUCAAUUCGUCCGACCCUCUCUAAGGAGUACUCAUCCUCCUUGCAUGGGCUUUCUUUGAGUCUUCAGCCUCCUUGGGCUCAAGUCUAUCACUUCCUUUGCAUAUUUAAUGGGUCGAAUGUAUAGAUUAGAGCUGCUAGAUGUUCCUCUAUUCUUUGGCCGACAUGUGACAACGAGAUGACAUAGUCAAUCGCCUUGCUUGGCCUUGGAGUUGGUGGGGACUCGUACUUGAGCGCCUACCUGUCAGCCUUUAUUUUUGGCGGCUCAGAGUUGACAUUUGAGUAGGCACGCUCUUUCUGCUCCUAGGACGUUGUGCCUUAGAGCUGUCAAUGACCACCUUGCCAUCUAGUGCUCAGAAAUCACCUUACGAGGAAGUGCUCGGGUUGAUUACUGAUUAGAUGCCUGAAGUCCAUGGGCUCUUUAAAGCAUUCGACUUCAUCUUUCCACGCUCAUUGAACCUUUUCCUUUGGACCUGUGUGCCUUUGGGUCUGUUGGGGUUGGAAAGGACACUGCGUUAACAAAAUUUAUAAAAUAAAAUAAAUACAAAAUGUAUCCAAAACAAACAAUAAAAUAUCAAAAAUUGUUACAAAAUAUAUAAUUUGAGUAAAUAACUAAAAAAAAUAAGAACGUUUCAAAAGUUUUAUAUCGAAAUAAGUUUAGAACACUUAAAAUAAAUUCAGAUCGAAAUUUCAGAAUUCUCGAAUCUCUAUAUGCAUUCCAAUUUCCGUUUUAUUUUUUCCAAAGUAUUCGGAUUAAAAAUUUUCAGUUCGAAAUUGGAAAUUUUAUAGUCCGAAUCUCGGAAACACCAUUCAAACUUGCACGCUUAAGUUUUAUUAACGUAAAAGCUAGUUUAAUUCCACUCAGUAUAUUUCAAUGUGAGAAGAGGCUUGUACAGGUUUUUUAAUUAGGGCUUGUCGCAUUAUGUAUAUCAAGGCCUUAAUUCGUGGCAAAUAUAAUAGAACUUUAACACAAUUGUGUACCCGAAUCUUCUCUUGAAAAGCAAAAGAUCUUAACAGAUUAUCAUUUCAAUUUUCCGACGGAUAUCUACAUUAUAUUAUCGGUCGAAUAAUACAAUCGACAUGUAACAAGUAAUAAAAUUAGUGAGAUAUAUAGUAAUUAGCAUAAGAGAGCGGUUAUUCCAACCACAAUGUCUUAUCUUCCUACCCACUUUUUUAUGAAAUUUUUAAUUACAAAUUUGUCAAUUUGUAAAAUGACUAAUAAGGACAUUAGUUACCCCUUUUGCAUUACUUUUUUUUAUAAAAAAGAAAAAAGAAAAGUUUGGGCGUGAUAACUCUCCAUUCCCAUCUCCUUUUCAUUCAGAGAAAGCAAAAAGAAUGAACUUAGAAGAUGAUGUUUCUAUGAAAGAAGUAGAUGAUUAUGUUUCCGUCGAAGAGGUAAAAGAUAAUUUCAUGUGGGUCAUCUUGAUUUGUCGAUAUCGUAUAAUAGAAGCGUAGCUCUGUGACUUUUUAUCUCUAAUUAUAUAUAUAUUAAGGGUUAUUUUAGGAAUAAUAUUGGGUGAGAAAAUAACAUUUAAAUUUUUUUAACUUUUUAUAGUAGAUGCAAAUAUAAUAUGAGUGAAAAAAAUAAGAUAACAGAGUGGGUUUAACAGCUCUCUUAGCAUAAUGACCACCAACCAAAUUGCUACAUGGUGAUUCCAAUUCCAACAAAAAUAUAGAAAAGCAUGGCAGCCUUUCAAUGCCGGUGACACCACCUAGAGACGAAGCCUUUUAUAUAGUAAAGACGACACGAUCUGAGCCACUAUCUUGUAUUAAUGAAUAGGCAUUUGACACCAAUAAAGGGCACGAGGAACCCAACAUUUCCUUUCUUUCUUUCGUAAGGCACACCACAAAAGAAGAUACCCUACAAAGAAAAUAAAGCCAAUAUAAUUAAAAAGAAAUAUAUAGGGUUGGUUACUUGAAUUUCUAUGCAUUCAACGCAUAAGUGGAAGAUGAUGAUGUAUUAGCAGCUUCAUUAAUCUUAAUUAAUUGAUCGAAUAAACACACAGUCUCGCAGUAUUGAUGAUAUGCAUUAGCCUUUGGGUGUCAAAUCUUUGGUGCCAUAAUGUUAAACAUAUCACACUGAAAAAUUGAUGAAGUUAAAUCCUCCUUUUAGUACUAAUUCUAACAAGGUUUUUUUUCACGAAAUUUACAUUUAGUUUGCAUAGGUGAUUAAGUUGAAGAUAAUAAAAGUGAACGGUCAGACUGUCUCAUCAUAAACUUUGACACAUAAUAUCAAGCAUACUUGUUCAGUGGCCAUGGCCUACAAUUAAAUAUCUUAAACAAGAAAGAAUCAUCAAGGGAACAUCUUCGACCAAUCUAAUAAUAUAGGACGAACGAAAUAAAGAUUAUGGACCACAGCAGUUUUUGCAUUCGAAAAUAUCAAAUAAGCUAGCUAGCUAGCAGCAUAGAAAUAAAGGGCAAUGCAUACUUUCUCUGUCUGGUGGUUCUAAUUUUGGAAAAGGAAUCGGAGCGUGAUGCUUCUUGAAUUAUAUCUCUCACCCUUUAUUGUAUAUAAUCUCAGCCUCAAGCACAAAGUAGUCUAAUGGCCAAACCAAAAGCAGAAACUGGACAGAAAAUUUUAAGUUACGAUACAUCCAACAUUUCCGUUGACAUCAAAUUCAAAUCAUAUCUAGUGUAUAAGAAAAAAAAUGGGAAUGUGAAUUUAUAAGUAGGACCUGUUUUUGGUCCCUUUCGAAAUAAACAUAGAUUUAUACGUUAAGUAUAAUAUAUAUACCCUUUGAUUAUUAGCUUUGCCAAAGCUUAUGGAAUAUUAAAAUACAGUAAUAGUAAUACAUACAGCAUAUAAGCGAAGUGAUUUUCUCAUACAUUUUUAGCAUCUCAUCGCACACUUCUCUUUAUUUUUAAUCAUCAAAAUGAAUAAGUUAAACGAAACCAACAUACAUGAUUAAAUAUAAGUGUGAAAAGUUAAAAUAGGUGUGUACGCUAUCAUUUCCUAUAAAAUUCCGAUCAUUCAAAAAUAGUGAUAAGAGGUUAACUAAUUAAGGCAUGAACAAUAAAAAUCUAUGUAUUUUUAUACAAACGAUAUUCUAUACUUAAUUUAUAUUUGCAGUAUAAGUUGAAAUGUCAAAACACAAGAAUAUAACAAAUGCCUUGCAAACACGUACCGCACCUAAGCCAAUUAGUAGGAAAGAAACACUAAUUUAUUAAUUGGAAUGCAUUACCCCUGGCCUAUAUGCUCAGUCCAACUCAGUUGGUUGGGGUCUCUUUCUGGUAGAAAUCGAUCUAACAAACAGUACUACUCAUUUUUAUUAUUAUUUUUUAAUUUAAUUUUUGUAGUAGUGAUCAGCUGCUUGCUUAAAUCUCGUGCCUUCGAUCACUUUAUAAGAAUCACCACAUGUCUUGUUCUCUUGCAUGUGAUCCUCCUUCCUUCCCCUAUUAAUUCCUCUCUCCCCCGCCAAACCUCUUCUCUCCUUUCCUCUGAGUCCCUCCAUUACCUUCAUCCACCACUCUCUGUCUCUGUCUCUCUCUCCCUCUCUCUCCCUCUCUCUCCCUCUCUCUCUCUUUCGCUGGUCGACCUGCAGACACCCGUUUGCCUAAUAUUGACUCUCUAUUUGUAUUUGAUCAUCGUAGUGCAACAUUUUCUGCAAUUAUGAUACCUCUUGAGCAGGAAAACAGCAUGUCAAACACUCCACCUAACAUUCUACUAUCUAAUCUGAACCGGCCUGAUCAGAACUGUUCGGUUCAUGCCGAACCCUCCGCUUCGUCGAGGACUAAUGUGAGCCCAUGUUUGGGUGACGACAUGGCGGACCAGCCCCGACCAACCUCGGCCAGAGCUUCAAUUUUGCACCAGUCGUUGCACCCUGUAACACUUAAGGUAAGACUUAAGGGCCAAUUAAUGAUAAUUCGCAUUUAAUAUUUUAUGAGUAACUUUUUUAUUAGAUAAUUUGACAUGUUAUGUGGGUAAGUAUGUAAUAACUAAAUUGUUUAAGAAAAAGAAUAGUGGUACUAUCAUAGUAGUUAUUAAGCUAACAUUUGUGUAAUAUAUGUAUUUAAUUUGACAUUUCCCUGCAGUUUGAAGAUGUUGGAUACAGCAUUAAGCUGCAAGCAACAAACGGAGGUUGUGUUGCUUCACAUAAGCCAAAACCAACACGCACUGUACUCAAUGGAGUGAGUGGAAUCGUUCUACCGGGUGAGCUACUCGCAAUGUUGGGGCCAUCCGGGAGCGGUAAGACCACUCUCUUGACCGCCCUGGGCAGCCGCUUGCCAGGUAAAAUCUCUGGCAAGAUAACAUACAAUGGCCAGAACUUCUCAAGCUCCAUGAAGCACAACAUCGGCUUCGUUUCGCAAGAUGACGUCUUGUAUCCUCACCUUAGUGUUCUGGAGACCCUAACCUACACUGCCUUGCUAAGGCUGCCCAAGCAGCUUACAAAAGAAGAGAAAAUAGAGCAAGUCGAAACGGUGAUAAUGGAGCUCGGGUUGAAUCGGUGUCGUGAUACUGUAGUUGGUGGGCCUCUACUACGAGGCAUUUCGGGUGGUGAGCGAAAACGGGUCAGUAUUGGGCAAGAGAUGCUUGUCAACCCGAGUCUUUUGCUUUUGGACGAGCCCACUUCUGGGCUCGACUCAACCACGGCCCAACGUAUCAUCGUGACGUUGCAGCGACUGGCCCGUGGUGGUCGGACGGUGAUCACCACCAUCCACCAGCCGUCAAGCAGGCUAUAUAGGAUGUUUGAUAAAGUAAUGGUGUUGUCGGACGGGUACCCAAUUUAUAGCGGGCAUGCUGAUCGGGUCAUGGAGUAUUUCGGGUCCAUUGGAUAUGAGGUCGGGUUCAAUUUCAUCAACCCGGCUGAUGUCUUGCUUGAUCUUGCUAACGGUAUGAAAUAUCUUCUCUCAUUAUUAGCGUAGCCUUUUUUUUUUAAGUUUCUAGCACUAAUUAUCAAAAUGUGGUAACUAUGCAUUUUUUUAUAUAUAAAAACAUUAAAGAUUCUGACGUACUACGUCAUCAAAAUCACAUUUUACUUUAAAAAAAGAAGAUUGGAUUGACAAUCUUUAAUUAACAUAUCGGCAUCCCAAACACGGAUAAGAAAACAUUACUCACCUUUAAAAAGAUUCCUAGAUUAUUACCUAAAGAUAUAUUUCAUAUACGCAAGUCUUAAUUAGUACAUGUCAACCCCAGGGCUUACCCACAAGUCACAAACUGGACAUAUGAUUAAUGUAAGUAUGAGGAACUUUUAACACUUAAUCAUUCAGGUACGAGUCCAUUUUUUCACAACAAUAUUAGUGCGUGUGAGUGAGUGAGUGGUCCACAAAGAAAAUGGUUUCAUCGCACCGACGGCUCCGUGAAUACAAUAGAGGGCAAAGGCAGACCACGGCUCUUAAUCUUAGUCGAUCAAAGCACAAAAAUAUUGAAAGGAACCUUUCAGCACUCUCUUAGCCAAGGAGGAUUCACAUGGACAUGUGGACUUGUUGCCAACCCUAAAGCCUAAUCCCAAAUUAGGGUUUUUUACUUUUUAUCCAGCAAACACCUAAAUUAAGGACUUUCUUAAGUACUCUGGAUAUUUUAACUGUCAAAACUUUGUUUAAAAAUAUAAAAAUUUGGAGUACCGGGUACUCAAAGCACCAAAAACUUGCCAAAGUCAAUGUUACAACUACAACACCUCUAUGCAUGUACAAACUUGUACAGUCUGAUUUGACCCCUCAUCCGAAAAUAUCUGUUUUGCAAUUUGCAUCAUUUUCAUUCAUCCGACAAUUUUUAUAAAGAAACUUUAGGUAUCGUUUGGUAUGCAGAUAGAAUAGGAUGGAACGGAAUGGGACAGGACAUGAUAGGAUGGAAAGGAAAGAGAGCAAAGAUGCCUUCGGAUGGAAACAAGGAGAAAGAAGAAGGAGACGGAGAGGUUAUAAUUUUGUGUUCCACGAAUGUGGAACGAGUCAUUUCAGGGGGUGAGACGGAACGAAAAUUCAUCUAAAACUCGUUCCGUGGAACAGCGCGUUCCACCCGUUUUAGGCGCAACAAAUGUAGGACGGAAUGUCUCAUCCCACUCAUUUUAGUCCCGUCCCACGUACCAAAUUGUAUCUUAAUAAAAAGUUUCUGGUACUGUUCAUUUUAACAAAAAAAUCAUAUUUUUACACUAAAAAAUCAAUCUUAGUACUAUUCACUAUACUCUUUAUUUUAUACUUAUCGUUAAAACUCAAAGUUUUGAAGUCAUUUUCAUUAAUUUUCUUUUUUUUAAUCAUCUGAAAUCGAUGUGACGGUGAACUCAUAAGUAUCUAGUUGUGGACAGAGGAAUUUACAAGCAACUAGGAUGUCAAAGGUAGUGUCAUUCCAAACCAGCGAUGUCAUAUGAUUAAAACAUAUAAUACAUUAUUAACUUGAGAUACAAUUACAUCGGGGUCCCAAUUGCAUGUGAGUUUGAUGAGAUCAAAACAAAAACAAAAUGAAGAACUUUAUAUCACCAUUCACCAUUAAGAAAUAUAAAUAUAGUGGGUCAGACAUUGUUUUCUUUCUUUGAGAUUUAAUCCUUUUUCUGUGAUGAUUGGUUUAAUAAAAAUCUCUUAAAUAUUUUUUGACAAGCAGGUAUAGCACCUGAUGCAAAACAGGAUGAGGAAGUAGAGUAUAAUGGCAGAUUAGACCACCAAGAAGAUCAAAACACAACCAAGCAGUUCUUAAUAUCUUCCUAUAAAAAGUAUCUAUACCCUGCAUUGAAGAUAGAGAUUCAGCAAACUCAUAAAGACACGGUUGUUUCUUCUUCAAGAACACCAUCAUCCAGAGGUAACCUCCAAUCAAUAAGUCUCUAUUUUUCAACUAGAUUUUCCGCUGGAAUAUUCAUUUGUGCAUGUAUACGGUAAGUAGGUAGUGGAAAUUACAAAUGGACAACCAGCUGGUGGGAGCAAUUUAGCGUUUUGCUGGAAAGGGGUUUAAAAGAGAGGAAGCAUGAAUCUUUCUCUCGCUUAAGGAUUUUCCAAGUCAUGUCAGUUUCAAUUAUUUCCGGCCUUUUGUGGUGGCACUCCAACAUUUCGCAUAUACAAGAUCAGGUACUCCAAUUUCCUCUCAUCUCUGCUCGUCUGUUAAAGAUUUCUUUUUCAGUAACUAGUUUUUGUUUUUCUUUAAAAUGAAAACUGACUUAAAAAACCAGGCUAGAUUUGGACUUAUAAUAAGAAGCAAUACUAAUAAGGUAGCUUGAACAGGUGGGACUUCUUUUCUUCUUCUCCAUAUUUUGGGGCUUCUUCCCUCUAUCCAAUGCCAUAUUUUCAUUCCCUAUGGAAAGACCAAUGCUGAUAAAAGAACGUUCCUCGGGCAUGUACCGUCUCUCAUCCUAUUUUUUUGCGCGAACGGUUGGUGAUUUGCCAAUGGAGCUUGUUCUCCCAACAGUCUUCGUAACAAUAUGCUAUUGGAUGAGUGGUCUCAAGCCUUCAAUAGUCACAUUUGCACUAACCCUUUUCAUUGUUCUUUACAAUGUGCUAGUCGCCCAAGGCAUAGGGCUAGCACUAGGGGCCAUUCUAAUGGAUGUGAAACAAGGCACAACUCUGGCUUCUGUGACAACGCUGGUGUUUUUACUUGUAGGCGGAUAUUACAUUCAGCACAUGCCGCCUUUCAUAGCUUGGUUGAAGUACAUUUCGUACAGCCAUUACUGCUACAAGCUUCUUGUGGGAGUGCAAUACUCGGUGCAUGAGGUUUAUGAGUGUGGGAUGGGGGUGCAUUGUAGGGUGCUGGACUUUCCUGGUAUUAAGUGUGUAGGUCUUGAUGAUAUGUGGAUAGAUGUAGCUGCAUUGGCUGUGAUGCUGGUGGGAUAUAGGGUUUUGGCUUAUGUGGCAUUGAGGAUGGGGCAACCUCACUGAGUUCUUGAAUCUUGAUGAUGAUAGAUCAGAAACUGACAUGCAGCAUAUUAUUGCAGCAAGAGAACUUGAUGACAUACGUUCGGAUAUCCAGUUUUAUCGAGUAAUCGAAGGUUUUGAACUGAUAUUGUGAACCAAGAUUUCAUGCAUUCUGGCUGGAGAAAGGGAAAUGAUAAACACACACCUUUUAUAGCUUCCUACACACCCCUGACUAAUCAUAUCCGUUGUUUUCGUUUGAUUUAUUCAAUCCGAUGGCCUGGAACAAAGAGGGGUGUGGGAAAAGUUAUAAAAGGUGUGUGAAAAUCAGCUCCCCUGGAGAAAUUGUAAUGAAUUGUAUUCCGUUACAAGGAAAUGGAUAUGAUGGUAAUGAUAAAUAGUUAGAUUUGUUGAAAAAAAUUCAAUUUGCUGAUGACAUGCCUUAUUCCAUUAUCCGAACAAAGAAAAAAUAUAUAAAAUAAAAAACCUUAAUAACAAAAAGGUUGUUUACAUAAUAUUUCGGUUCCUUUCAAAAUAUUUCGGCAGGUAUUGACGGAACUAAUUUAAUUGAAACGAGCUCGACAUAAUCGACCCAAAGCAGUAAAUUCAUACCCAACCCAAUCUCAAAACCCAUUAAAUAAACAGGGAGAAUUUUAAUCUGUAAAUUUUCCAGUCAAAACUAUCAGUCUCUUCUUCCUAAACUCCCAUGUCCUUCCCCUUAAUGUGUUUGCCAAAGUUCUAACUUAUGAUCCUAAUCCAUGCUUAAAAAUGGGAAAGGGUGAAAAUGUGAAUAUAUUAGACGAUUAGCAAAGAUUCUUCAAGUGAAGCUGGUGAAAGAAAACAAAAUGAAGGGAUCAAAAUAAAAACUUCCUCAACCCCACACCGAAACCUAAGGGAGUUGAUUUCAAGUUCUUGAUCGAAUUGUAUUUAGCUUCGUACAAAUGUACGUAGCCAGGUCUUCCGUAUCCGGAGCUCAGUUUCUUGAACUUGAAGGCUAUAUACCAGUUUUUCUGGGGGAUGCUACAUGAGUUUACUUGAACCACUUGGACUUGUUUAGGUGAGGUAACCAAACCGUCAUGUUUUAGCAAUUGAUCAAAGUUCAGAAGUUGUUACUGUUGGGAAAUUAUUUCAUUUUAUUAUUAUUGUUAUUUUAUUGGUUUUCUUGUGGGCCAAAGAUAAUGAUUCUUUGCCCAUCAAGUUUAUGAGUUAUCGGCCGUUAAUAAUUAGGGUGUUCUUUAGUUUUUCUCUAUGAAUAGGAUGCUCUGUAAAUCGUAAAAUAACAAGUUUGUCAAGAUGUAAUCGCUUCGAGUUAUAUAGCCGUCUCGGCAACGUUUCCCUAUUUUUUUAUUUAUAAAAUAUUCUUAUCGUUUUAUAUUGUCUGUGAUUUUCAAGUGCUACAUAAAGCAAUAAAUAGUUCUGCAGUGCUGCAAUAUGGUGUGUUUGUACCAUACUUAGGGCCUCCGUAUUUAGAUUUCGUAUAAAUACUCGGAGGACUCAAAUGUAAUUAUGUAAUAAAAGAAGGGGCAAAUAUGUAAUAAGUGAGGAGCCUUUAUUCUAUAAAAUGACUCAUCACCCUCCUCAUUAGGAGAGGCCAAUUUCUUAGGCCUGAGAUCCCCUCUCAUAUUCAGAGCAAAGCUCUCUCCCUCACAAUCCUCUCAGAGAAAUACAAUAAUCAGUGUGCACGUAGCCCAAACAUUGGGGUGAACCACGAUACAUCUUGUUUAUUUACUUUCUUGCAGAUUCACGGUCGGAUUUACGUUGUUCCAAGACCCCUCCGGUUUUGUGCAUCAACAUUUGGCGCCGUCUGUGGGAAUUGACACAAAAAACUAUGUCGGUUCUCUUUCAUUUUCUCACCUCUGCCGUGAAUUUGCAAAAAAAAACCAAAUUCCAUAAAUCCCAGAAAAACCCAAAUCCCAGUUUUCAAAUCCCAUUGCAAAGUUCCCAUAUUUUAUGUUUUCUGAGUAGUUUUCAAGAACAGUUUUUUAGUACAAUCAAAACCCAGUUCAGAAACCCAUGGACACCAAAAUCGGUUCCAUCGACGUCUACAAGCCUACAUGCACUGACGUCAGCAGCCUACCGAAUGACGCCGCUCUCCUGUUCGUUUUCUGCAGCUCGUAGUCGCUGUCUAUUUCAGAUUGUGCCAGUAAAACUCUCUUGACAAGAGCUUCCAUUGCAUCUGUAACCAUCUGAACAGAUUUAAAAAGUUCACCAAUAUAAGCCGCAUCUUGUUCAUCCAGAGGAUCAUGUGGACUCUUGCACUCGACCGCCGGCCACAUCGCUUUUUCACUAGAAUCUCAGCAAGCCACCGUCCUCCAUUUCUCUCUCUCUGGCCAUGGACUCGGGAAAGCAACCUCUGAAAAAGCGGAAGCUGCACGAAUCCCAACCAGAACUGCCUUCAUCGCCGUCAUUAUUACAACCACCGCCACCACUGCAAACCCUAGCUCCGCAAUCUCUGUCUCAAAAGGAGAUAGAGUCGCUAAAGAACGAUUCGGGAAGCUGAACACGGUUGUGAUGAACGCGGUCGUGGAGGCUUGUGUACAUUUCGGCGAUAUUGACUCUGCACUCAUGUUGUUCGACGAAAUGGCUGAGCCAGGAAACUGUGGCGUUGAUACUAUCACAUAUGGAACCAUUUUAAAGGGUUUGGGCGUGGCACGGAGAAUUCAUGACGCAUUUUAUGUACUUGAAUCUGUGGAGCGAGGCACUGCAGUGGGAAGUCCGAAAUUGUCAGCACCUCUUGUUCUUGGUCUGCUCAAUGCUCUAGUUGAAGCAGGAGAUUUACGCCGCUCUAAUGGGCUUCUUCAUCAUUAUGGUUUUCUCCUUCGCGAAGGUGGCAGUCUUACAGUCAGAGUCUACAACUUACUAAUGAAGGUUCUGCUCUCACGUCGAAGCUCGAGCAAGCUUAUCUCUCUUUCAUCGUUGCUUCCAGAGGUUGUACGAGUGUACAACGCAUUGUUGUUGAUCUCAUUCCUCGGUAUGUUUCAAAAUGUCCAACUGCCCUUGAAGCAGCAGGGAAAAUUGUUAUAAAUAUGUAUAAUUGGAGCAGGGCAGUAAUAAAGAGAGGAGAGGAUGCUGAUGAUGUUGCAUUUCAGACUAGUAAAUCUUGUGUUCUUGGUCUAGCUGAUAUUUGCUGCACUGCAUCUUCAGUGGCGCCAACAUCAUCCGUCAUUCAGGGGAUUUGCUCUGCAGUUUUCCAAGCUACAGUUUAUCUAGCCUCAGGUUCCAUGCAUGUCUGGAUUUCCUGCGGGAGGCAAGCACGGACCAAUGAUCAAACUUCAAGGGGUGCAGUCAUGUGUUCACAUGUCGAAAAGGCAGAAAGUGAAAAGGAAAAAGAAAAAAAAAGGUUGCGGAUGAGUAUGUCUGCAGGUGAAAAGAAAAAGCAUGCAUUUAUCCCCCAGAUUCCACCACAAAAGCACAUGGGUAAAGGAUGGGUACCUCAUAUUCAAAGCCAUUAAUGCAAUUUGACUCCACCAUUGGUCCUACGCACCUCAGAUCCCAUCUCUGCGAAUAACACUGGAAAAGCAAAAGCAGAGAUAAGAUUUUUUUUUUCUUUUCUUAUUAUUCAUUCUAUUAAUCUUUCCUUGUCUGCCAUCUGCAAAAGGGAAAAGAAAAAGAAAAAGCAGAAAGCAAAAGAAGAUAAGAAGAAGUAGACAUAAUUACGGUGGUGAUGGCAUGCAGAAGAGGGAAUUAUACGCGUGACCCAUUAAGCAGAGGGUCAGAUUUAUUUUUGAAUGAUGUAAUUUAUUUUUCGUAUCUUUCGGAGAUAUAUGUAUAACCCCAUCAUAGGGUAAUAAAACAAAUAAAAAAAACGGCAAGCCCAAAAUAAUGGGCUGUAAUGUUAUGUGGAGGGCAAAAACCCAUAUGCCUAAAAGAGCCAGGCCCUCUAUUAUCACCAACUAGGUGAUCAAAAGUACGUCCAGUACUCCAAAUUUAUUCGGCACCCUGCCGCUAUUAUCACCAACCAAGUGAUCAAAAGUACGCCCAGUACUCCACAAUUAUUCGGCACCCUGCCGCUAUUAUCACUAACUAGGUGAUCAAAAGUAUGUCCAGUACUCCAAAAUUAUACAUGAGCAUCACUCAUGUCAAUCAUACAUAAACAUUCAUGAGCAUCACUUAUGUCAAAUCAUACAUAAACAUUCAUGACCAUUAUCCAUGUCAACAUUCAUGAGCAUCACUCAUGUCAAUCAGCUUCAAAAGCUUCAUUUACAGAGCUUUAGCUUCAAAAGCUUCAUUUACAGAGCUCUAGCUUCAAAAGCUUAAUUUACAGAGCUCUAACUUUAAAAGCUUAAUUUACAGAGCUCUAGCUUCAAAAGCUUCAUCUACAAAAGCUCCAGCUUCGAAAGCUUAAUUUACAGAGCUCUAGCUUCAAAAGCUUCAUCUACAAAAGCUCUAGCGUCGAAAGCUUAAUUUAUAGAGCUCUAGCUUCAAAGCUUCACUUGCAAAGCUUCACCUACAAAGCUUCAGUGCAGGGUAUACAAAUCCCGCCUCCGAACAACCACCACUUCGGCCCAUACAUGGAUUCAAUUUGAAUUCUCCAGCCAACAGACUUUACUGACUGAAGACUUGGGGACUACAUUAUGUACCAUAUAUUGGGCCUCAACUAGGCCUCAUGAAAAAUACUUGGGGAACUUAACCCAUUAUUUAUGUACUGAGGAGUGAGCCCUUAUUCUAUAAAAGGGACUCCUUCACUUUUAUUAGAGAGCACCCAUUAUUCAUGUACUGAGGAGCGAACCCUUAUUUUAUAAAAGGGACUCCCACACCUUCAUUAGAGAGCAUCGCCGCCAGCUGAGCAACCGCCUCACCGCGAACAUCACUCCUAACCCAUCACUUAUGUAUUGAGGAGCGAUCCCUUAUUCUAUAAAAGGGACUCCCUCACCAUCAUUAGAGAGCAUCGUUGCCUACUGAGCAAUCGCCUCGCCGGGAGCAUCAACUCUAGCCCACAAUUUAUGUAUUGAGGAGCGAGCCCUUAUUCUAUAAAAGGGAUUCCCUCACCAUCAUUAGAGAGCAUCGCCGCCUACUGAGCAACCGCCUCACCGCGAGCAUCAACUCUACCCCACCAUUUAUGUAUUGAGGAGCGAGCCCUUAUUCUAUAAAAGGGUAUUUCUCACCUUCAAACGCCCCAAGCCGAGCCAACCAAGGCAACAUAAGUCACAAGCCGAGCAGCCUCGCAACAUGUGCUACAUCUAGUUGAGCCUCAUUUCACAUUGAGCACCGCCUCAUAUCGAGUAUUCAGUUCUAGACGACAUCUAGUUACUUCGGCCCACACAUGGACUGAAUUUCAAGUCUUCAGCCAAAAGACUCUCUUGACUGAAGACUUGGGGGACUACUGUUUGUACCAUACUUAGGGCCUCCAUAUUUAGAUCUCAUAUAAAUACUCGGGGGACUCAAAUGUAAUUAUGUAAUAAAGGAAUGAGCAAAUAUGUAAUAAGCGAUGAGCCCUUAUUCUAUAAAAUGACUUUUCACCCUCCUCAUUAGGAAAGGCCAAUUUCUUAGGCCUGAGAUCCCCUCUUAUAUUUAGAGCAAAGCUCUCUCCUUCACAAUCCUCUCAGAGAAAUACAAUAAUCAGUGUGGACGUAACCCAGACAUUGGGGUGAACCACGAUACAUCUUGUGUUAUUUACUUUCUUGCAGAUUCACGGUCGGAUUUACGUUGUUCCAAGACCCCUCGGUUUUGUGCAUCAACAUGGUGCAUUUCAUGAGCUUGGCUGACUUUUUACUUGCUUUAUGCAGUAAAAAGUUCUGUAGUGCUUCAUAUUUGAAAAUGUACGCGCCUAACCUUCAGACAAUUAUUGAAUUGCAAAUUUACCAAAAUUUCAAACGAGACCAUCCAUGUUAGUCGACAUGCACGGAUUUAUUAAGGACGAAAGUGUAAAUAUCUCCUCAUUAGAUAAAACUUAGAGACUAAGUAAUUGUUACAGGUUUGUUAGGACAGUUAGUCAUUGUUGGACUUAGUUAGGACAUUUUGUUAGACUUGGUUUACAUGUAUAUAUACUCAAAUGUAAUCUUAUUGUUUUUUUAUGAAAUGAAAAAUACAUUUCUAAUAUGGUAUCACCGCAUUUUUUGGUCUAACGACCGCCUUUCUUUCUCGAUCCCAACGUUUUCGUUUCCUACUCUGAUCUUCUUUUCCGAUUUGCCUCAUCUUUGCUUGCUGCCUUCAAACCCUAGCCAUGGCGAUUGGUGCGACUGGUGCAUCUCCAUUAUCUGAUGCAGAUUCUCAUGUUCAUCUCUCUCAUUCGGAGAUUCCAAGCCCUAAUUCCUCUGCAAUUACCUCAAUCACAAUUCAUAAUAUUGGAUCUUUAGUUCCGAUUAAGCUCACUACUACGAAUUAUCUGACUUGGAGUGCUCUUUUCGCUCCGAUCUUCUGUCAAUAUAAUCUCCGUGGUUUGAUCGAUGGAUCCAUGGGGGCACCGCCUAAAUUUCUUUUUGAUGCCUUAGGAAAUCGUACCACAACCUUGAAUCCAGAAUUUGUGACUUGGUUCGAGAAUGAUCAGAACAUUCUCAUCUGGUUAAAUUCAACGCUCUCGGAGUCUCUUAUUCCCUUCACUGUUGGCGUUACAUCUGCUCGUGAGCUUUGGGCUAAAUUGGAAUCACGUCUUGCCACUGCCUCUCAGUCGCAUAUUCAUGAGUUCCAUUCUCGCCUUCUCAAUCUUUCCAAAGGUGAAUCCACUGCUGCUCAAUAUCUCCAGAAAAUUGAAGAAAUUGCUGAUGCACUUGCCAGUGCUGGAGCACCGGUUGAUGAUUCUGAUCUCAUCUCCGUCAGUCUCCAUGGCUUGCCUCCUGAAUUUGAUUCGUUUGUGGAUGCGAUACAAUUCCGACUUGGAUCUACAACGAUUGAUGAACUUCAUGACCUGUUGAUAAGCAAAGAGAUUCAACUCAAUCGUCGUAAGAAAUUGUCAUAUGCGACACCUUUUCAAGCUUUUUCAUCGUCUGCUGGUAUUCUGCCUACACUGUCACACCCAAACCCUAAUUCUCAAGCCUUCACUGCUCAGAAUUUCUCAAAUUCUACAAACAACAGUCGUGGCAUGGAUCGAAAUUCCAGAAAUUAUUCUCAAAAUCGAGGCAAUUUUCGUUCAAACAACAAUCACAAUUAAUGGCAGAAUUCAUAUCACAACAACAAUCAGCGGCAACGCUACAAUAAUAAUCGUGGAUGUCGAAACACUUUUCAACUUUUUGGCAACAAAGUUCAUUGUCAAAUCUGGAGACAAUUUGAUCACGAAGCUUGGAAUUGUCUUCAUUGCAUAAAUGCAAUUUACAGUGCUCCAUCAUCUCACUCUGCAAUGGUGGCCAACACCUCCAAUUCUGCUCAUACUUGAAUUGUAGACUCAGGUGCUACUUCUCACAUGACCAACUCAUCUGGCAAUCUUCAGAAUUCAGAAGCCUAUAGAGGACUUGAACAAGUUACAUUGGCAAUGGAAAAGGUUUACCUAUCUCUCAUUCUGGAUCUUCUAUUUUGCCUACUGCACAUUAUAAUUUUCACUUACAUAAUGUGCUUCAUGUCCCUGCUCUUAAGCAAAAUCUACUUUCUGCAAAUCAAUUUUUUAUUGAUAACUGGUGCUUAAUGCAUCUUUAUCUUUUUCACUUCACUGUGAAGGAUCUUUCUUCAGGGAUGAUGCUUUUUAAAGGUCCUGUCAGAGAAGGUUUCUAUUAUUUUCAUUCCUUUUCAUCUCAUGUUGUGCAUUCUAAAGCUUUGACUGCAACUAUUAAAGCUUCCAAUAAAGUGUGGCAUCAAAGGUUGGGCCACCCCUUUGUGAAGAUUUUACAUAAAUUGGCUGCAAUAUCAUGUAUCUUAGUUUCUCAUAGUAAAAAUAAGUCUUUUUGCUUCAAAUGUGCAUUAGGCAAGUGUUCUAGACUUCCUUUUGUAUCUGUAACUUGCACUACCAGUAAACCUCUAAAGCUUAUUCACACUGAUGUUUGGGGGCCUGCACCUGUGUCUUCUCUUCAUGGCUUUCGAUAUUAUGUACUUUUUGUGGAUGAUUACACCAAGUAUACUUGGUUUUUCCCUUUGAGAUACAAAUCUGAGGUAUUCUCUAUAUUUGUUAACUUCAAGAAUCUUGUUGAAAACUCUCUAUGUACUAAAAUCAUUGCACUUAGAUCUGAUUCUGAGGUUGAGUUCUUGAGUAGUUCUUUCUCUCAAUUUUUGAUUGCCAAUGGCAUUCAACAUCAGCUUAGUUGUCCUCAUACAUCUAAGCAAAAUGGGUGUGCAUAACGGAAACAUAGGCACUUGGUUGAAACUGCAAGGACUUUGUUGGCAGCUUUUCGUGUUCCUCAUUUCUAUUGGGUUGAUGUAUUUGCAACUACAAUUUAUCUGAUCAAUCGAUUACCUACUGCCUUCAAAUUUUCACCUUGGGAGUUAUUAUUUCAACGGUUGCCAAAUUACAGUACUCUUCGAGUUUUUUGUUGUGCUUGCUUCCUUUGGUUACAACCAUACUCUCAUUCCAAGCUACAUUCGAAGAGCAAAUUAUGUGUUUUCAUGGGAUAUAGCUUGCAUCAUAAAGGAUAUAAAUGUCUUGACCCUGUGACCAAGAAAGUUUACACAUCCCGGCAUGUAGGCCUGGCAAUUCCUGACACGACCCGAUAACCCGACACGACACGACAUGAAAUUAACAGGUGUUCGGGUCGACACGAUAACGAAACGGGUCAUUAUCGGGUAACCCGAUAAGCACCUGUUAAGAUAACGGGUUUGUUUGGGUAUACACGUGGGUAACACGAUACACGAUAAGCAGAAUAUUAAUUUAAUAAUUUAUAACCCUAAAAAAAUACUAUAAUAAUUAUAUAUAUAUAUAUAUAUAUUAAUUUAACAAUUUUAUACCCCUAAAAACUAUAAUAAUUAUAUAUAUAUAUAUUAAAUUAACUAUAAUAAUUAUACCCAAAAUAUUAACUAUAAUAAUUAUAUAUAUAUAUAUAUAUUAAAUUUUAUACCCCUAAAAACUAUAAUAAUUAUACAUACAAAAUAAAUAGAUUUAAAUCUACUUAAUAAAUAAAUACAUAUACACACACACACACACACCAUUGAACUUCAUGGGAUACGAAUUAUACGAAACUAAUUUCAACGAUCCAACCGUCAAACAUAUUUGUAUAUACUUCGAGAUCGUAUACGUCAAAAAUUGCAAAAAACAAACAUUCAGAGACCAAGUAACGGGAAAAAACUUUUCGACGGUUAUAAACGAAAAAUCACGAUUUAACGGUCAUUUUAACUCCGAUUUUGAUGAUUUUUUACAACCACACUCCUUGACCCUAUAUGAAUACAAUGAUUGAAUUCAAUCUUCAAUUUAAAAUAUUUACACUAGUGGAUACCACAAAAUCUUAUGUUAUACUUAAUAAAAGUAUGAAUAAACUCUUAAGUAUUAGUGAAUCUAUUGUUUUGAUGGGAUACUCAUUCUACAAAACUAGUUUCAAUGAUCCAACCGUCAAACAUGUUUGUAUAGGCUUCGAGAUCGCAUACGCCAAAAAUUGCAAAAAACAAACAUUCAGAGAUCAAGUAAUGGGACAAAAGUUUUCGACGGUUAUAAACGAAAAAUCACGAUUUAACGGUUAUUUUAAUUCCGAUUUUGAUGAUUUUUGACAACUACACUCCUUGACCCUAUAUGAAUACAAGUAAUGAAUUCAAUCUUCAAUUUAAAAUAUUUACACUAGUGGAUACCACAAAAUCUUAUGUUAUACUUAAUAAAAGUAUGAAUAAACUAUUAAGUAUUAGUGAAUCUAUUGUUUUGAUGGGAUACUCAUUCUACGAAACUAGUUUCAAAGAUCCAACCGUCAAACAUGUUUGUAUAUACUUCGAGAUCGCAUACGUCAAAAAUUACAAAAAAACAAAUAUUCAGAGAUCAAUUAACGGGACAAAACUUUUCGACGGUUAUAAAAAGAAAAAUCACGAUUUAACGGUCAUUUUAACUCUGAUUUUGAUGAUUUUUUGCAGCUACACUCCUUGACCUUAUAUGAAUACAAUGAUUGAAUUCGAUCUUCAAUUUAAAAUAUUUACACUAGUACUUAAUAAAAGUAUGAAUAAACUAUUAAGUAUUAGUGAAUCUAUUGUUUUGAUGGGAUACUCAUUCUACGAAACUAGUUUCAAUGAUCUAACCGUCAAACAUGUUUAUAUAUACUUCGAGAUCGCAUACGCCAAAAUUGCAAAAAACAAACAUUCAGAGAGCAAGUAACGGGACAAAACUUUUCGACGGUUAUAAACGAAAAAUCACGAUUUAACGGUUAAUUUAACUCCAAUUUUGAUGAUUUUUUACAACUACACUCAUUGACCUUAUAUGAAUACAAUGAUUGAAUUCGAUCUUCAAAUUAAAAUAUUUACACUAGUGGAUACCACAAAAUCUUAUGUUAUACUUAAUAAAGUAUGAAUAAACUAUUAAGUAUUAGUGAAUCUAUUGUUUUGAUGGGAUACUCAUUCUACGAAACUAGUUUCAAAGAUCCAACCGUCAAACAUGUUUGUAUAUACUUCGAGAUCGCAUACGUCAAAAAUUACAAAAAAAAAACAUUCAGAGAUCAAUUAAUGGGACAAAACUUUUCGACGGUUAUAAAAAGAAAAAUCACGAUUUAACGGUCAUUUUAACUCUAAUUUUGAUGAUUUUUUGCAGCUACACUCAUUGACCUUAUAUGAAUACAAUGAUUGAAUUCGAUCUUCAAUUUAAAAUAUUUACACUAGUGGAUACCACAAAAUCUUAUACUUAAUAAAAGUAUGAAUAAACUAUUAAGUAUUAGUGAAUAUAUUGUUUUGAUGGGAUACUCAUUCUACGAAACUAGUUUCAAAGAUCCAACCGUCAAACAUGUUUGUAUAUACUUCGAGAUCGCAUACGUCAAAAAUUACAAAAAACAAACAUUCAGAGAUCAAGUAACGGGACAAAAGUUUUCGACGGUUAUAAACGAAAAAUCACGAUUUAACAGUCAUUUUAACUCCGAUUUUGAUGAUUUUUUACAACCACACUCCUUGAUCCUAUAUGAAUACAACGAUUGAAUUCGAUCUUCAAUUUAAAAUAUUUACACUAGUGGAUACCACAAAAUCUUAUAUUAUACUUAAUAAAAGUAUGAAUAAACUAUUAAGUAUUAGUGAAUCUAUUGUUUUGAUGGGAUACUCAUUCUAUGAAACUAGUUUCAAUGAUCCAACCGUCAAACAUGUUUAUAUAUACUUCGAGAUCGCAUACACCAAAAAGUGAAAAAAACAAACAUUCAGAGAUCAAGUAACAGGACAAAAGUUUUUGACGGUUAUAAACGAAAAAUCACGAUUUAACGGUCAUUUUAAUUCUGAUUUUGAUGAUUUUUUACAACUACACUCCUUGACCCUAAAUGAAUACAAUGAUUGAAUUCGAUCUUCAAUUUAAAAUAUUUACACUAGUGGAUACCACAAAAUCUUAUGUUAUACUUAAUAAAAGUAUGAAUAAACUCUUAAGUAUUAGUGAAUCUAUUGUUUUGAUGGGAUACUCAUUCUACGAAACUAGUUUCAAUGAUCCAACCGUCAAACAUGUUUGUAUAUAUUUCGAGAUCGCAUACGCCAAAAAUUGCAAAAAAUAAACAUUCAGAGAGCAAGUAACGGGACAAAACUUUUCGACGAUUAUAAACGAAAAAUCACGUUUUGACGGUUAAUUUAACUCCAAUUUUGAUGAUUUUUUUACAACUACACUCCUUGACCUUAUAUGAAUACAAUGAUUGAAUUCGAUCUUCAAUUUAAAAUAUUUACACUAGUGGAUACCACAAAAUCUUAUGUUUAUACUUAAUAAAAGUAUGGUAUAUUGUUUUAUUUUUUUUCAUAAUUAUUUUGGUAAACUUCUCAUAAUUUGAAUGAUUUUUAAUGUUUGGUUUUUCUAUGUUUAGUUUAUGCAGAAGAGAGUUAUGACGUGGAAAACCUUACUGAAAACAUCAUCAAUAUAACUCUUGAAGGCAAUAGAUCAAGCCAAAGUUCCAAUGCAAUUUCAUGAUGAUCGAUGUAAAUCGAGGAUUUUGUAAAUUGAGGUUUAAACUUUUGAGAAAGAUUUCACAACCUUGAAAACAAAAACUGUUUCAUUUUGCAUAUCCUUGCACAUUUAAAGUUUGUAAUAGAUUAGUAGUGUUUGUAUUAUUUUUUUAUUAGGCUCUUAUUUUUAAGUGUAGAUGUAGUACUUAAACGACAAAUGUAUUUUAAUGUUUUGAAGUAAUAUUUAUGUGGCAAUGUGUGGUAUGUGCAAAUUUAAGAAAAAAAAUAUAUUUUUCUUAACGGGUCAUAACGGGUCGGGUCACUUUACCCGUUGGGUAAAGUGACACGACCUGUUAAGGACCCGUUAAGAUAACGGGUGUGACACGACACGACCCGUUAAGAUAACAGGUGUUACACGAAAACGACACGAACACGACUGACACGACCCGUUUGCCAGACCUACCGGCAUGUUCUUUUUUAUGAAACAAGUUUUCCUUUUCAUAAUUUUUCAGUCCCUGUUUCUUCCACAUCUCUCAAUUCUCCUCUUCAGCAAUUCCCAUCAUCUCUCACAUUUACCACUCCCACUUCCAACCUACAACCUCAACCUCACCUACCAUCACCCCCACCUACAACCUUUGCCUUAUCUAGUUCUCCGCAACCUACUUCCCUCUCCACAGAAUUACAGGCUUCAUCACCCUCUAAUCCAACCUUACCAUAUCUUUUACCUUCCUCUAAUCAUCACCCAAUGCAGACAAGAUCAAAGUCUGGGAUAUUUAAACCCAAGGCUUUCACAGCCAUAAAGCAUCCACUUUCACCUCAUAUUGCUUCAUAUUAUACUCAUAACACCUAUCUGCAAGCAUCAAAACAUCUUCACUGGCGCCAAGCAAUGCAGGAGGAAUAUAAUGCUCUUCUCAGUACAGGUACAUGGUCUUUAGUUCCCUUUACAUCCUCUCAUAAUAUUGUCGGCUACAAGUGGGUAUUCCAAAUCAAAAAAAAGCCAGAUGGGUCUAUUGACAGAUACAAGGCCUGAUUAGUUGCUAAAGGUUUCAAUCAACAAAAGGGCUUGGACUAUUCUGAGACUUUUAGUCCAGUGGCAAAACCAGUUACCAUUCGAAUACUUCUCACUCUUGCUUGUCAAUUUGAUUGGUUUCUUAACCAACUUGAUGUUAGCAAUGCCUUUUUGCAUGGUACACUCACAUAAUACGUGUUUAUGCAACAACCUUCUGGUUUUGAGGAUUCCACCAAGCCAAAUCAUGUUUGUCAUCUUCACAGGUCUCUCUAUGGUUUGAAACAAGCUCCUCGAGCUUGGUAUGAAAAAUUGAAUGGUGCUCUGAUUUCUUUGGGGUUUAUUCGCUCCCAAAAUGACCAUUCCCUGUUUAUCAAAAGGGAUCCGCAGUUGGUAUUCAUACUGGUUUAUGUGGAUGACAUUUUAGUCACUGGACCCUUUUCUGUAGAAUGUCAAAAGGUGAUUACACAAUUGAGUAGUUUGUUCCCUGUUAAAGAUCUUGGCUCUUUACAUUAUUUCCUCGGCAUUGAGGUCAAGUGAUCAUCAUCUGGAAUCUUUAUUAAUCAGACCAAAUACAUUCUUGAUCUUUUGCAACAGUCUCACAUGGAUGGAGCAAAACCAUGUUCCACACCUCUCAAUACAGAAAAGCUUGAUCAUGAGUCUCCACUUCUUGACAAUGUUACUGAAUACAGGUCCUUGGUAGAGCCUUACAAUAUCUCACCUGGACUCGACCUGAUUUGAGUUUUGCUGUUAAUCUUGUUUGUCAGUACAUGCAUAGUCCCUGAGUCUCUCACUUUCAAGUUGUUAAAAGAAUCCUUCGGUACUUAAAAGGCUCUAUUGAUAUGGGUUUAUGGUUCUCUAAAUGCCCUGUUCCUUUGGCACUUCAAGCAUUCUCUGAUGCUGACUGGGCAAGAUGUUCUUUAGACAGGCGAUCCACUGGUGGUUUCUGUGUUUUCCUUGGCAGUUCUAUUAUUAGUUGGAGUGCUAAAAAGCAACCAACAGUAGCACGAUCUUCCACUGAAGCCGAAUACAGGUCUCUUGCUAAUAAUGCCGCAGAGUUGUCAUGGAUCUCCAAGCUUUUAGUUGAUAUUGGCUAUUCUCCUCCUUGUUCACCUCAGUUGUGGUGUGAUAAUAUCUCUGCCAUUUCUCUGGUGAAGAAUCCUAUUUUUCAUGCUCGCACGAAGCAUGUUGAAAUAGAUUAUCACUACAUAAGGGAGAAAGUGUUAGCCAAGCAACUUGUUGUCCAAUUUGUGUGUGCACAAGAUCAAGUUGCAGAUAUUUUUACCAAGUCUCUGUCCAAGUCCAGAUUUACCUUUCCCGACACAAACUCUCUCUUUGGGUUCCUCCGUUUAGUUUGAGGGGGGCUAUUAAGGAUGAAAGUGUAAAUAUCUCCUCAUUAGAUAAAACUUAGAGACUAAGUAAUUGUUACAGGUUUGUUAGGACAGUUAGUCAUUGUUGGACUUAGUUAGGACAGUUUGUUAGACUUGAUUUACAUGUAUAUAUACUCAAAUGUAAUCUUAUUGUUUUUUGAUUAAAUGAAAAAUACAUUUCUAAUAGGAUUGAUGUCUACAUAAUUUGAAAAUGUACAUAAUUUCUUUAUACGAAGUGUUUGUACUUCUCUGUAGGUUUAAUUAAGCAUAUCAAAAUCAACUAUCUACCAAUACACGCACUCGAAUACGCAUCAAAUGAUGUCAAUUUACAUAUGUCUCGAUUAAGCAUCCGAUUCAGCACCAUCUCCCAACAGGCCACCAGUCCAUUUUAUCCCCCUUUGCUCGUGCAAUCACAUCUUAUUCACCUCAUAUCUGCUGAAAGUAGGGAUUCUAAUUCCGUGUCACAAUUAUGAACUUCGACUAUAAAAUGGUUGAACUCUAGUAGAGGUAACAAUUGAGGCCAGACAACAGGAAGCAAACACUUUAGCGUGUAAGAUUAACAAAACCGAAAUGGCAUCACUCAAGCAAGAGAAACCUACUUCCACUCAACCCACUGCCGGGCAGGCCAAGAAAGAGCCUGCUCCAAAAGCUUGUUGUACCACACCCAAAGCUCCAGCCUCCAAACCCGACCCUAAGAAGGCUGAGACAAAGCCUAGGGAGCUUAAGAAGAGGGUAAGUGCCUAAAUACAUCGAUCCAUAUAUUUUCAUAUUUAUUGGGCACCAAACAUGUGCUUAUUAACACCUUAAAUUUUGUUUUGCGACGGUUUUAUCAGACAACAGGAAGCAAGCCUGCAGCCAAGAAUUAGAUGAAAGAAACGGUGUGAGGCGAGGAGUGCAUGAAGAUGCUGAAUCACUGUGGUCCUCCAUAUUCUGAUAAUAAUAUGUCUCUCCUUUUAGGCUUGGCCUGAUAAAUAAAAGAGAACUUUAUUUUAGAGGAACAUUUGCUUGGUAUUUGCUUAAACUACAUGAAAUAUUAAUUUGCAAACAUAAAGCAUUCAGAAGGGUGUUCAUAAAUAUGAACCAGAAUAUGAAGAUACUGAGAAAGUUCAAGUGUUAAACCAUUUAAAAAAUAUUUUUAAAAAAUGGGCAGAUUCUGUAUGUUUUCAGUAUCCGAAGACCUCCAAAAGGAAUCGGCCAUUUACUUUCUAAUAUUAGACAAUGUUUUAAGUGAACUGAACAACUUUGAUCACAAGGAUCACAAGAAAUUAAAGAUAUCAAAAUUCAAUAGAACUGAAGUUUCUUGGUACAAAUUAGGGGUUUGAUUUUGUGCUAAAAAUUAAAGGAUGACUAGUCCAACAGAUAAAUGCCAGAAUUGAACGCAUGUUGAAAGUAAAACAUAAAAUAAUAUGCUAAAGAGAAAUUGAUAAAAGGUGAAAUAGAAAGCAGAUUUAUGAGAUUAAGCGGCACUAAAUUUGCGAACUUUGAUGCAUCGUAUGACCGGGAAAUAUGAGAGACUCUGCAGUGCUGUAUAAGCUGUCAUGAAAAACAUGCACCAAGCUUUUUUCUUCUGUUUUCUAGUUGGCUAAAGAUCCUCUGCAUAUACCGGCCUGUUAUUCGAUAAAAUCAGAUAUAUGCAACCCAAUAAGUUACAAUGUCAAUGCAAAAAUCAAAAUAGGGAAGAAGAAUAACAAGGACCUUCUUCAUUCCUAGCCAGUUAAGACAAUGAAGAAAUACUUAACGAUCUCCAUUUCUACAACUCAUACAAAAGGAUCUCCUUUUUCUCAUAAAAAAUGAAACUAAGAAUGUAUGGAAAUGAGCAUUCAUCUCAGCCCUUGCCUUAGAGAAUGUUGUAUAUACUGUCACCAUACAUAAAUUAAUAAUUUAAAUCACUCUGCGAGGGCCUGUGCAUAGCCAAUUUGACAAGAUAGAGCAGUCAAACUGUUGGAAAAUAUUAGUAUUUAGGUUUACUUUAAUGUUUUGUUUUCUGGGCUUAGCCCGUUAGCAUUAGGGUUUAGGGUUAGUUUAUUAUAAAUAGAGUGUUUUGUUAUUCAUUAGAUAUCAAGCUAUUCACAAUGUAGUCUCUUAGGGUUUUGUAGCCGUUCCGGCAUUCUAGUUUGUUUAAUAAUAUUCUUAUUAAUUUGUAGUCUUAUUCGUUGUGCACUCUGAUAUUCAACUUGGUAUCAGAGCAGGUUUGAUCUUUCGGGAUUUAAUCUAUUCUUCUUGAUAGGUAUCCAUGUUGUUUGUUUGAUAAUAGUUUUCAGUGUUUGUUUUGAAAAGAAAAAAAAUUUGAUUAUGUUUGCUCGGACGACCCACCAGAAUCUGCCCCACUUCCGCUGCAUCGUCACCCAGCCAUCAGCCUUCGUACCAGGUCUGCAACUAGAAACCCAGCACAUCUGUUGUUCGUAUCCAACACCAGCCGCAUCACCACACAGUUUCCUGCACUGCAUCCGCACCCUUUGAUCGGACCCGCACCACUUGCACCUCCGCACCAGACCCAUGAAAUCGUCUACCCACCACUGACUGCGCUGCCUUCGCACCGUACCCGCAUCCUCGCCGCCGCUUUGAUCCGCACUUCAUCGCCUCUACUUUCCCAUCGCGUCAAGAAUCCCAGAAUUGAGAUCCCAUACUGCACUUGGAUUUGUUUUCUCUGGAGAACACUGCCCAGAUAGAAGAAGAGAAUAAGGAAACAGAAGUCGAAAAAUAGAAGAAGAAAAAAUGAAAAAAAAGGAAAAGAAAGAAAAAGAAAAACCGUUGUCCAAUACAAGAAAAAGUUAUAUUGUUUGUUGGAGAGGAAAGCAUUCGAAAGGUCCCAGGAGAAAGAAAAAAAAAUUGCUGUUGGUUUAGGCCCACACGGGCAGAGAAAAAAAAAAGUUAUGGUUAAGUUUGUUUGAAGGCCCACACAAGUUGGUGGCGUUGUUCGUUUGUUGCUACAAUUGAGAUAUGAAAAUCUCGUCCGUUUAGUGACGGGUUCUUUCCAUACUCUCAACUCUAGUCAGUCGGAACCACAAUCAGUUUGCCAGCAAGAAUCAAGUCAAGUUUGCUAGUCAAGUCAAGUUCGCAAGUUCACCAGUUCGCAAGUCAAGUCAAGUCAAGUUUGCAUACCUGCCUGUCUGUCUGUCUGCGUUGCGGAGCCUGCCUGUCUGUCUGUCCGCAUUGCGGAGCCUGCCUGUCUGUCUGUCUGUCCGCGUUGCGGCGGAGCCAGUCUGCAUCUGCUUGUUUGCAAACCCAUGUCGUAUACCGCCAUGAGUUUGACGGGGGUGUUGGAAAAUAUUAGUAUUUAGGUUUACUUUAAUGUUUUGUUUUCUGGGCUUAACCCGUUAGCAUUAGGGUUUAGGGUUAGUUUAUUAUAAAUAGAGUGCUUUGUUAUUCAUUAGAUAUCAAGCUAUUCACAAUGUAGUCUCUUAGGGUUUUGUAGCCGUUCCGGCAUUCUAGUUUGUUUAAUAAUAUUCUUAUUAAUUUGUAGUCUUAUUCGUUGUGCACUCUGAUAUUCAACUCAAACCCCUUUGCACCUAACUUCGAAUUCAUCCACGUCGUUUAGAUUAGAUUAGAGUAUUGCUUGAAUAAUGUAUGUUACACUAUCACUCAGCGGGUUUUCAAUUUUGCCAAUGGAUGUGAUUUUUGAGCCCCAAAGACUAGUCUUCAACAUUUAGUUAUGUAAAUAUUGGGAUAUUACUUAAUUUUACAGAAGUUUCGUUGAUCGGAUUAGGAGCAAUGGAUCAUAAUAGUUUUUCUUGAUUAGUGUAAUUUCACUACUAUAUGCACUUGCUAUUACAUAAUGAAAUUCCAGAAGACCCAAAAAGUCCAAGAAUCACACAAUUAUUUAUGAAAAGAAUCAUAUAAUUAGUUCUUGAUCGCAUGUUAAAACGUCAUUCACAACCCAUUUGGUGAAAUUCGAUCUCUCAUAAUUUCAGUAUAUAUCAGUAAGCAAGCAAAAGCAUCUGAUGCCAACAGCCUUUUAAGUGCAGCUAUGCUUUCUUUGCCAAUACUGGUUAUUCCAUUCUCUUCCAAACACCUUUUAUCAUAACUUGUUAUUCUAAUUCCAUUUCUACACUUGUGCCCUGCACUUAUAAAAAGGGUAGUUUCAGAAGCAGCCAAUAUUCACAACACACACGUUAAAUUUUUCGUAUAGUUGCGAAAAGAGAGUUAAUUUAGAGAAGUAUGGCAUCAAUGAAGGCGGAAAGGCAAGUCGGCACUCAGCUGUUUGGGCAGGCCAAGAAAGAACCUGCCGUUGCCAAGGCUGGUGAUGCCAAAGCUCCGGCAUCUAAAGCCACCCCAAAGAAGGCUGCAGCCGCACCAAAGUCUCCGGCACCC